UUUAGGAUUAGAGUUUAGGGUUUAGUGUUUUGUUGACAACAUGUUUAGUGUUUUUCCAAGGGUUUAGGGGUUUUACCCAAGGAUUUAGGGUUUACUUAAGGAUUUAGGGUUUAGGAUUUGAGUUUAGGGUUUAGUAUUAGAGUUUAGGGUUUAGUGUUUUGUUGACAACAUUUUUUUUUUUUGAAUUCGUUUUUUAUAUAUUAUUUUUAUUUAUUUUUAAAUUUUAUUUUGAAAAAAUAAUAUAAUUUGCAAGUUAUUUGGUUUCCUUAAUUAAAAGAUACUAGAUUUAAAAUGACAACUUUCUAUUGGUUGGUGAAUCUAAAGGUUCACCCUAGGGGGUGAACCCAAGAAUAACUCUAUAUAUAAAGAUGCUGGUGACCUUCCUGUGAUGCCACAUGGGAUUCCAGGUCAGAAAGUCGAAGACUCUGGGUGUGACACGUGUCUCGUUAAACAAACAGCAUCGUUUCAUUUAUUUUCGUUCCCAUUCCGUUUGGGCUUUGUUAUUAUUUGUCUUCAGAAAGCCCACUUUUUGAGUGUAGGUCCAUAAGCUUGGAAGGCGUUGUUUUGAUUCUAUGGUUCGGUCUCUCCCACUAUUUCUCUUUAACUAUUUGUCUUACAAAUUUCUGAAUCCUCUCAAAAACCGAAGCGACAUCUGCCCUAGAUCUAGAAAUCAUCAUAAAUUCCAUCUGUUUUAAAUGUUUUACGUUCCUAAUUCUCAUCUCUUUGUCAACGCGAAGAUUUAUGUUCCUUAAAUUAUUUGGAUCAUGUAUUUAUCCUUCGGAUCAAUUCGUCUUCCGAGCAUCAUUCUCUCCGUAAUCUCCUUCGAGAAAAGGAGUUGGGAAGGGGGAUAUGAUUUCUGGAUGGAAUUGAGUGAAUGACGUCUUACUGUAGAGAGCCCAAGUACAUCUCUCUUCUUCUUGAAGAUUACUUCGAUUGUCUCUACAACUCCAAAGAGGUACCCUACUACUUCCUUAUUCUCCUCUUUCCUGGUCUUCUUUUAGUUGAAGAUUGAUUUCGUUGUGAUUGUUACAUUAUGGUACAAGCCAUUGUUUCCAGAUUUAAGAAAACGCUAGACCAAACUGAUGAAUCAUGUCUAGAUCACGGGGUAAUUCAAAAAUCUGUGUUGGAUGUGGCAAAGUUUGUGUCUUAAAGGUUUAAAAUUUCUCACUUUUUAAUUUGUACUUUAACAGAAAACUUUGGAGAGGUCAAAUUUCAAUUCACGUUGGUUAUGUGGCUCAGAUCUCUCCUAUCCUUGAUUCUACACACACAGAAGGUGUAAUUGGUGAGACUGAGUGCUAGCCAUAGAACUCUAAAUUUGAGGUUCGGUCUUUAGAGAAACGUGUUACACUGUUGCAGGAAUAAAACAGCAAAUAGAGGAGAUUCAUCAUCAUCUGCAAAAAUGGUAAGUCUGGAAGAAGCCACACAAAAAAACAUGCAAUGAUGUUUAGCCAUGAGAUCAAGAAAAGCCAAUAGGUUUUAUGGGUUUCAAUAACCUGCAAAGAUGUUUUUGUUUCUUUAUGUUUGGUAACUCUUAUGGUGCAUGUAUAUUUGAACAGAGCAGGAGUUCCUUUGCUCGAGAUGGAAUCUUAACUUGAUACGAGAAGUGGGAUCGGAGGCACGUAAUACACCAGUGAGAUGCAAUGGAUUGUGAGUGAGUAACAGGAAUAUCCAAGAAGGCUCUCUCCACUGCGAUUUUAACAUCUCAGUCCGUCCAAUUGUGCAAGUUAAGUUUGGCACCAAGGUCAACAAGUUCCUUUCUUUCUUUGUCGUCUUUUAUAUUCUGAGUCUAGCGAGUGAAGAGAUAUGAUCAACUCAUUCUUUUUUCAUUCUACUACAUCUGGUUUAUGAUCCAAAUUUGUGUUGGUUCAUAUCUGGAAAUUAAGAAUUUGAGUGCGUUUCAGCAAUUGACAAGAAACUGAAGUAACAACGGGAACAAUUUAUUAGGGAGAGAAACCGUUUCCUUUCUUCCCUGUAAAGUAAUAGGAACUGCAACCACUGCAGCGAACUGCUUUCAGAGCUCGCUCUUCCUGAUAUUGACAACCUGGAAAUGCCCAAUUUGUCAAAACUUGAAAACAUUCUUGAGAACGAAGCACCACGGCAGGAAAUGUGGGAUAUAUCGCCAGUUCAUGGUGGGACAUUGUCAUGGCUCCGGAAAUGUACUUCGAAGAUUCUUAAGUUGUCCCCAAUAAAAAUGGCAGAAACAACAGCUACUCUGAGUUUUACUGACCAAGAAACUCAGUCUGCUGAGCAAGCUAACGUGAACAGUGGGCCAUCAACUAUGCUUCAGGUCCAAUCUGAAAGUGACAUCAGAGAAGUUGAAGUCGCCAAUGCAAACUCAGACGGUGAUCACAGCAAAAUCAACAGCAAGGCUCAAGAAGUUGAUGUAGAUUCUUUGUCUAUUAUAGCUGCUGAUGGUCUAUCACGCAUAAGAGGGAAAGCCAGAGUCAGAAGAACGCGCUCUGUCAAAGCUGUUGUUGAAGACGCUAAAACCAUCUAUAGAGAAUCUAUACAACUUAAUGAGCCCGUUGAUUUAACAGAAAAUGUUGAGGACACUGCUAAAGGAAAUGAUAAAAGCACUGGUGAACCUGGUCGUUCUGAGAAAGGAGAUUCAAAGAAUGGACGGAAACGUGAACGUAUGGGUUCUUGAGAAAGAUAUCUGAAACAAUGUAUUGAAAAAAGGGAUAGUGGAUUAGAAGACAUAAUAUGUUAAUAUGGGCAAAUUUAAGAAGAUUAAAUCAAAUUUAAUGGAAGUGAGUAGGAGUUUAAUGGAGAAGGAGAUGGAGUUGUGCAGUCUGAGACGUGAAAUAGAGAAAGUAGAAACAUCAAAGCAGAAGCCAUAGAAACUGUGCUAACCAGUGUAAGUGUUGUAUCAUAACCAAAAUAAAAAUUAUUAAUCAACUAAUAAAAAAUUCACCUAAUGUACUUUAACAAUUACAUUGUUUUGUUAUUGAACAGUUUUUAAAAAAAAACUAAAACAUUCUAUAUAAUAAAUAAUUUAAAAUAUAAUAAGAUAACAAAAAUAAAAGUUCAACACAUAUUUUAGCCAUUCCAUCUUUCAAAUAUCACAUAAGUAACAUAAUCCAUAAUUUUGAGUUUGAGAUUUUCUCUUACUGCACAUAGAAAAUUAAGUUUUCAUUUGUUAUUUAUUAUAUUGUAAAAAAUAUAUGUUCUCUUCAAAUGUUUAAAUAUUCAAAAAUUUAUUUCUUUUGGAGAUAAAUAUUCAUCUGGGAUGAAAAUUAUUUACGUUCUCUUCAAAUGAAUAAUUUAAAUUCAAUUAGAUGCUUUAAUAAAUAUAAUAUACAUAUAGAACAAUAAAAGAUUUAUAGAAUUUUUACGUAUGUCUACAUAUAAGUAUGUAUUAAAAUAUAAAUUAAUGAUAUUUCAAGCAAAAUAUUUAUAAUUAAUCAAAAUAUUUUACUCCAAUUUAUCAAAUAUUAUAUGAAAGUUGACAAUAUCAUUAUAAAAACUAAAAGUUCAAAAAUAGUAUAAGAUAAUAAAAUUAUAAGGACUAAAGUGAUAACAAUAAAACUUAACAAUGUUAUUUGAAAAACAGAUAAUUGCAAGGACUUAAACAUAAAAAACUUCAAAUAUGAGAUUUUGUACAUUAUAACUUCAAAUAUGAAGUUUCACUGUAGAAAGUUUCAAAAUUUAAAAUUUUGAACUUGCUUUUAUAGCAUGUAAAAAUAUAUAUAUGAAGUUUUGAAAUUGCUAUUGGAGAUGUUCUUAACACGAAACAAUUGGUUUUGAUUCAUAUUCCAUUAUAUGUUCGCUUCGGUUUAAAAUGUCUUUUCGUAACAAAUUGUACAAUCAAUGAAGUUCUUGCUUUAGUCGAUAAUGUUUGGCGAUAAAAAUAUUUAACCGAUAACGCGGAUAUUCAUUAUUUUGACACAAAAUAAUGAAAAUAUAAAUAACAUAUAUAUAGUAAAAGUCUAUAAAUUAAUACUCGGCAAAUGAAUAGACACAAUAAUUAAUAAAUUUUACUGGUCUUGAAUUGGACAUAUAUAAAAUAUAACUUAAUUCGAUAAAAUAAUAAUAACAUAACUAUUUUUUUUUUUUUUGAAACACUAACAUAACUAUUAUAUAUAACUUUAUAUAAACAUAAACAAAUCAUCUCUUAAAAAAAUGUAUUCAUCUUUCAUAUAUUUUUUCAAUUUCAAUAUUUAGAUUUUUUCAUUGAAUUACAGAUAAAAUAUAUUUAUAUACUAUCAUCAAAUUCAACACACAUUAUAUAUCAAAUAAUUUAAUAAAGUAGAUAAAAUUUAACUAAUAUAUAGUAUCAUAAAGUUAAUUUUUUUUUUACCAACAUAAUCACAUAUAAUCACUCCUCACCUAAUACUUUAUAAAAGACAAAAAUCAUUAUCAUACACAAACCAAAAAAUCAUAAAAAAAAUAAUAACUUAGAUCACAAGUAAAGUAUAUCCCGCCUGUAGGGCGGGCCGUCCUAGUUUUUUAUAAAAGAAAGUAUAAUGAAAAGAUAUAUAUUUUUAGAUGUUAUAAAUCGGGGAUGGCCCAUAACCGGCCCGGUCCAUAACCGGCCCAUACCUAGAGAGACAUGGCCGAAACCCUAGAGAGAGAGAAGAGAGAGAGAGGCGGCCGACUAAGGAGAGAGAGGCAGCCGACUUAGGGUUUCCAUAUUACAAGUUUUCCUAUUCUUUGUUGGUUUAUGAUUUGUAGUCUUUCCAUUUAUGUAUUUCCAUUUAAACUCCUUUGUAACCCUUAUAUAAAGGAUAUAUUAUUCAUUAAUAAAACACACAAAAUUCUCCAUUCUUUUACAACACGUUAUCAGCACGAUUGUCCUCUGCAACCUGAGCCUAAAUCGCCAACCCCUUAAACCUAACCUAGCCGGCAACUUACCUAAGAACCAUAAUCUGUUCUUCCUUGUGUUCCGGCUUGCAACUAUCCGAUCAGCAUAAACCCUAAAGCGUUCCUGAUCCUAGACGUCCUCAGUUUCCUAUUCACAACAGAGCCAACCCACGUUCCUGAUCAGACAGCUCGUGCUCCCGAAGGACCAGCUUGCAAUCCGACGAUCGACACCCCCCAGCUCGAAGACGCGUGAAGCAGAUGAACGUCCCCGGAAGCAGUUGGCGUGCGUUCUUCGUCCCAGCUGUUCACGAUACGAAAGCAACCAGCUCGUGUCCAGCUCGUGUUUGUUCUCAUUCCAGCUCGAGGUUCAUCCGUUCCCUUUGGUGGUCCGGUUCAACCCUACAAACAAAGGUAUACCGAAUAAUCUGAGAUCAUAAUGAUCAAACCCUAAAACCCUAAUCCAUUAUUAUGGAAAUCCGAUGUUAUUGAUCAAACCCUAAAAUUGGUAUAACCUAAAACUGAUCAUCUCAUAAUCACUAGAUUGAAAUCGAUUCCCUAGAACAUGAUUGAUUGUUUCUGAUCUGAAUUUUGAAACCGUAAAUUCUGGAAUCGAAACCCUAAAACCCUAAAGCUUGAAUUCGAUUUUGAUUGUUCUUGUUUUGAUUGAAUGAUUGAUGAUCUGAGGUUUUAGGAUUAAUAGAUUGAUUGAUAGAUCUAAUCUCAAAUUUGAAAUCCUAAAGGCCUUAAAACCUUGAUCUCAUAUUGCUAAAAUCGAAUUCUAGUAUUGCUUAAAUCAAAACCCUAAUUUUCAUAAUAAGAAAUCGAUUGAUUAGGGUUGUUUGCAUAAACAUAUAAAACUGAAUAUGAAUUGCAUUCGUCUUGUUUUAAAAUAUCGACCAGCAUGACAUAUAGAUCGUAUAAACUUGAAUAGUUUGCAUCAUAGAAUUGUAUGGCCGUGCGGCCUAAUAUAGAAUCUAUAAUUGAUCGUACCAUGGUCGUUUUAGAUUGUUUGAAAACAUGAUUGUAUAAGACUUGCUUGUGGCCGAGAUUAUUGAUUGUCUUGCGGCCACAUGAUCACAUUGUGAAACCCUAAAUUUCGAAUGAUAAUGUGAUUCAGUGAAAUCUCAAACCUAGAUUAUGCUGCCCUUAAUCUCUCCGGAGACAACUAUUUGCAAUGAGCACUUGACAAAAAGAUUAACUUGAGGUCAAAGGAACUCGGUGAUGCAAUCAUCGAGGGCAACAAUGAGACUGAUAAGAAUCGGUACAGGGCUAUAAGUAUUAUACGCCACCAUCUCAUUGAGGGUCUAAAAGAUCAGUACCUCACCAUGGAGAAUCCACUAGACCUUUGGACCGCUUUACAGCGACGAUAUGAUCACCAGAAAACGGUGCUAUUACCAAAGGCUAAACAUGAGUGGAAGAAUCUCAGAUUCAUGGAUUAUAAGUCUGUGGAUGAAUACAAUUCAGUAUUGUUUAAGAUAGUCUCAAUGAUGAGACUUUUUGGUGAGGAAGUAACUGAGAAAGAGUUGCUUGAUAAAACAUUCUCCACGUUCCAUUUGACGAACGUGUUGCUGCAACAGCAGUAUAGAGAGAGAGGCUUCGCCUCAUACACUGAUCUGAUCUCGUGCCUACUCCUGGCCGAGGCUAAUAAUGAACUCCUGAUGAAAAACAGUGAGAUGAGACCCAUCGGAACAGCAAGAGGCAAGAGCCGUGGUGACCAUACUGAUAUAUCCCACGGAAUUAUAUACUUUUAUGGCACGACUGGAUUAGCCAUCCUAGUCUAAAACUUGAUGCAAAGAUUGUUAUUGAAAGGCACACAGAGUUAUCCCAUAAAGAUCUCACGUUGUGUAACAUGUACACAAGGGAAACUCAUUAGGCUUGAUUGUCCUAAGCAUCACGAAAUUAUAGUAUUUUCAUGAGGAGGAAAGAUGAUAAAACCCUAAAUCCAUGACCACACUACAAAUUCGUGUACCAUGGUCUAUGACCAUGCUAUAAACGGCUUGGCCGUGCAGGCUAUUACCUAUAAGGUUCGGACAUCCAUCCUAAAGCUUAGGGACAUCAUGAAUUUACAUGUACAUAAGGAUAAUAUGCAUCAUGCCAUAUAAGUGAGCAUAGAUAUUCCCAUCUCAGAUUGAAUACGGGUCAUAAACCAGACAUACACCAUCUUAAGAGACUUUGAAUAAACCACCACAAACAUAUGUGCUGUCUAAGAUGGAACCUCAGAAGAGGAUUGGGAAUAUAUGUUGGAUAANNNNNNNNNNNNNNNNNNNNNNNNNNNNNNNNNNNNNNNNNNNNNNNNNNNNNNNNNNNNNNNNNNNNNNNNNNNNNNNNNNNNNNNNNNNNNNNNNNNNNNNNNNNNNNNNNNNNNNNNNNNNNNNNNNNNNNNNNNNNNNNNNNNNNNNNNNNNNNNNNNNNNNNNNNNNNNNNNNNNNNNNNNNNNNNNNNNNNNNNNNNNNNNNNNNNNNNNNNNNNNNNNNNNNNNNNNNNNNNNNNNNNNNNNNNNNNNNNNNNNNNNNNNNNNNNNNNNNNNNNNNNNNNNNNNNNNNNNNNNNNNNNNNNNNNNNNNNNNNNNNNNNNNNNNNNNNNNNNNNNNNNNNNNNNNNNNNNNNNNNNNNNNNNNNNNNNNNNNNNNNNNNNNNNNNNNNNNNNNNNNNNNNNNNNNNNNNNNNNNNNNNNNNNNNNNNNNNNNNNNNNNNNNNNNNNNNNNNNNNNNNNNNNNNNNNNNNNNNNNNNNNNNNNNNNNNNNNNNNNNNNNNNNNNNNNNNNNNNNNNNNNNNNNNNNNNNNNNNNNNNNNNNNNNNNNNNNNNNNNNNNNNNNNNNNNNNNNNNNNNNNNNNNNNNNNNNNNNNNNNNNNNNNNNNNNNNNNNNNNNNNNNNNNNNNNNNNNNNNNNNNNNNNNNNNNNNNNNNNNNNNNNNNNNNNNNNNNNNNNNNNNNNNNNNNNNNNNNNNNNNNNNNNNNNNNNNNNNNNNNNNNNNNNNNNNNNNNNNNNNNNNNNNNNNNNNNNNNNNNNNNNNNNNNNNNNNNNNNNNNNNNNNNNNNNNNNNNNNNNNNNNNNNNNNNNNNNNNNNNNNNNNNNNNNNNNNNNNNNNNNNNNAAACCGUCUAACUCGACCAGGUCAGCUUGUCACAGAUGCGGGAUGAGUAACCAUUGGGCCAAGAAUUGUAGAACCCCUAAACAUCUAUGUGAGCUCUAUCAAGAGAGCCUUAAGAACAAGAACCUGGAAGCCCAUAUGGUUCAUGAUACCGGGUAUGAUGCUGAUGAUGAUUCCGACCUUGAAAAGGACGACCUCUUGGAUUUUGAGACUUCUGAUUGUCUCAAAGACUAAAAUCGACAUCUUGUCUUAUUUUUUUAUGAAAUGCUUUGAGUUCAUUGCUAUUAUAUCUUGCCUAAUUUUGCUUGAUAAUGUGAAUGAUUUUUUUGAUAAAGAAAUUUCCUAAAGGGCAUUAUAGUACGGGUAUAGUAGCCUAGUAAGAAAUCUAUGGCCAAGGCAUUGCCUAAAGGGCAUUAUAUACACCCAAGAAUGUAUGAACCAUUGAGUUAUAAUAAAUGUUUUCCAAAUAGAAACAAUGGGCAAAAGGAAACAAGUUCCUUCAGAUUUAAAGAAAGAGAACGCCUAAGACCUUAUAAGAAAGUGGUCAAGACUAUACCUACGUACUCUACUGAUCAAAACUAUGCUACAGAUCAGUAUGUAAGAGGCAAGAGCCGUGGUGACCAUACUGAUAUAUCCCACGGAAUUAUAUACUUUUAUGGCACGACUGGAUUAGCCAUCCUAGUCUAAAACUUGAUGCAAAGAUUGUUAUUGAAAGGCACACAGAGUUAUCCCAUAAAGAUCUCACGUUGUGUAACAUGUACACAAGGGAAACUCAUUAGGCUUGAUUGUCCUAAGCAUCACGAAAUUAUAGUAUUUUCAUGAGGAGGAAAGAUGAUAAAACCCUAAAUCCAUGACCACACUACAAAUUCGUGUACCAUGGUCUAUGACCAUGCUAUAAACGGCUUGGCCGUGCAGGCUAUUACCUAUAAGGUUCGGACAUCCAUCCUAAAGCUUAGGGACAUCAUGAAUUUACAUGUACAUAAGGAUAAUAUGCAUCAGCCCAUAUAAGUGAGCAUAGAUAUUCCCAUCUCAGAUUGAAUAUGGGUCAUAAACCAGACAUACACCAUCUUAAGAGACUUUGAAUAAACCACCACAAACAUAUGUGCCGUCUAAGAUGGAACCUCAGAAGAGUAUUGGGAAUAUAUGUUGGAUAAAUGUCUUCCUCCCACGAUUUCUAAGAGACCUUGAGCCAAAACAUGGGUGAUCAGAUUAUGGCCAGGUACACGGAUUGUAUGACCAAUGAAUCCGACUAUCCAACAUUAGAAGGAGAAAGUGAUAAUCUGGUACAAAGAAAAGAAUGAUAAAGAGAAAUAGUAUGGUAUCAACCAUCAUUGUCUUGGCAAAUAUCCUCGGACUAGAGAAUAUGAUUAUAGACGUCCAAACAAAGAAAAGAAAAGAUUAUACAAAGCUAGCUAAUCGAGAUGCCAGACACUGACCCGAAAAGAAAAGAAAAGAAUGACUAAGUCAUAACCAGCUUAGCACCAAACGAAAUCUGAUGUCCUAGAAAGAGACACAGUCAAGUUGCUACAGAGUCUAUACAAGAUAGACCAAUGUGUUCCAUAAGAUAAGAAACCUCGGAAAGAAUAGAGAAAGGUGCAUAGAACACAGAUCCGAGGUCAUAAGGGAAACCAUACCAGACAUUAAGAAAAGGCUGCGCAGCUAAACAUCUAGGGUACCAAACCAUGUAUCUUGGGACGCCAAGCUGCUAGGUAACAAAGGUCCUGGAUAAUGAAAUCUCUAAUCGAUUAGAUCAUGUCUGGAACACAAUGGAACCAAAUACAUAAGUGUCGACACAUAAGAGAUAUAUUUGUAUAAAGAUACAUAAGAGAGUAGCACUUGAGUUUAAAGAUAUAAACGAGGAUCAUGAACCCACGAAAUAGUACUCAUAAAGAUUAAAGAUUAGAUUGAAAAGAUAAACGUGGGGUUUAAAGUAUCUAAAGAAGAGAUAGGCGUAUUGGCCAUACAUACAUAUACAGAAACGUCAUCUGAUAUAAACCAGUGAAAUAUAUGGGUCUUGUGAGGGAAAAGAAACCGUGAGAUAUGGUACAUGAUCACGUGGUCUAAAGGUGUUCAUGUUUCCUACUAAGAGCAUACGAUCAUAGCUUGUUACACAAGGAUACUCACAGAGACCAUGGAACAGAUUAUAAGGAGAUAAACUCCUAUGUGGUGGAUGCUGCUACAUAUUUUCGAAAUUGAUAAAGGUCUGGUCAUAAGAAAAAAAUUAGAUUGACAUAUAAUGAUGUAGUAAGCAGCAUAUGGAUCACUGGAUAAAGAACAGCUUUGUUCCUAAGCUGUUCAUGGACUGAAACAAAGCAGCUGCAUAUAGUAUGAAAUACUAGUAAAGGAAUUGUAUAAGAACAAUCCAAUUCAGUCCACACACAUAUACAAAAGAAAUUCGAAAUUCCUUGUGUUUACUUUAUCAGCCUAAAGAAAGGUAAUUUGGAUUAACUCAGCUUGCUAUCUCAUAUAGCAUGUUCUCCGGAUAGACAAAUCCGACAUCAGAUCCCUUAGAUAAGGAUCCGGCAUAGCAGAACAGUUUGCUGCUGCUGUAUAAGGCAACUACUCCCACGAGACUCUGUCAUGAGGCUGAGAGGAGAUAUUUAACCUAUCUCGAUCGGGUACCAAUAUGUUGCAGUCUAUAAGCUCGUGUGAUCAAAGUCCAUGACCAUAUAUAUAUAUAUAUAUUCAAUGCGUGAUAUGAUACAUGGCAAGAGAGGUCAUGGGACGCCAUCAAGAUAAAUAUAUGACUGCAAUGUCUGAUGUAUAUGGCAUUACCGAAUGCAAGAAAAACCGAUAGCCAUGUAUGAAGUCCACGAGUGUAUUUGGCCGCAGAGCCAUAGUUUGAUAAGAUCGUAAAAACUCGUUGCAGCAAUGAUCAUUGGUCACAUCAUGAUCUUGGACACUCAUGAGACGAGUUGUGGACAUGUAUAGACGAGGUCUAUGACCCGAACAUGGAUCGAUCAGAUUAAAACAUUGCCGAUGGUAGUGAAAAGGAGAAGUUCAUAUAGUCCACACUUUAUCAUCGUCACCAAUCAUAAUAGCCAAAGGGAGUAUCUGUGGGCUUGUGUGGUUAAGAUCUAUGACUCAACAUAAAUCAAUUAGAAUAGAAUAUGGCUGAUGAUGAUAAUAAAGAAAGAUCAAUGGACAAAGACAUUGGUACACAUCCGUGUAUAGAAGAUACACUGGAUCUUAGGUUUACGACCUGAGAUUAUAAAUUCAUGGUACCAUACUUAGUAUAUUGUCCAUAAGUAUGUUUAGUCUGUCCGACAAAAGUAUAGACAAGUCGACAGCAAAGGUUCACUUCUUGACCUUGCACACACGAUGUCAGAGGAAAUGAGAAAAGACCGGAGAGGUCGAAGUGGUCCAAUUACGGUUCAAUAAUAAACUUGGCCGAUUUGUUUACUUCCUACCUGCACGUUCAGGAUGCUCACGCAUCAGAUGCGUAGACUAAAGAAUCUCCACUGAGGUUCACAUCAGGGGGAGUAGUACGUGUUGUACUCUUUUUCCUUCAUCAUGGUUUUGUCCCACUGGGUUUUCCUGAUAAGGUUUUAAUGAGGCAACAUUAAGCGUAUUACAAUCAUGUAUGGUUAUGACAUCCAAGGGGAAGUGUUAUAAAUCAUUAAGUGGAUGGUCCAUAACCGGCCCGGUCCAUAACCGGCCCGGUCCAUAACCGGCUCAUACCUAGAGAGACAUGGCCGAAACCCUAGAGAGAGAGAAGAGAGAGAGACGGCCGACUAAGGAGAGAGAGGCAGCCGACUUAGGGUUUCCAUAUUACUAGUUUUCCUAUUCCUUGUUGGUUUAUGAUUUGUAGUCUUUUCAUUUAUGUAUUUCCAUUUAAACUCCUUUGUAAUCCUUAUAUAAAGGGAUGUAUUAUUCACUAAUAAAACACACAGAAUUCCUCAUUCUUUUACCGCAUUAGAAACGUAAUGAAAAGAUAUAGUUAUUGAAAAAAGUUAGCUUGUAUCCACGAUUCACACAUGGUUUAGCCUAACCGACCAUUUUUAGCCAAGCCGGCCAUGUCCACUACAAUACUCACACUUUCCUCUUCCCCUAGUUGAAUAAUGAAGCAGCUGCCAUUUAUGUUCUUUUUGGAAAAACUUCACCAUCUAUUCCAUAGAAAUCUAUGUGUAAAUGGUACUAUUAGACCUUUGUUUUUUAUUUUAUUAUUUUGUUACUUUUAAAGCCAAUAAUAUGUGCAUUAAAAGACCUUGGUUUUAAAAUGAUGUUAACAUUUGUAGUUUAACAUGUGAAGUCACAACAUAAAAAAUGAGAGAAAUAAACAACAUCCACUAGAUAGAACUAGAAGAAAAAAUACUUGUGGUUGGGGUAGGUUUAAUAAAUGUGCACAGCUCAAAGACAUUGCAUGUGUAUUUGAGUUUAUGAAAUCUAGCAUUUAUUCACCUAACACGUUUAUCUAUUGACUCACAAGGUUAAUUAACUUAUUUACACACUUUUUGUAUAAGUUUUUAUUUACCUAAUAUUAUUAUUUAUAAACUUAAUUAGUUAACCAUAAAGAUUCAACAAUCCAUUUUCAAAUAACAAAACCUAAUAUAUCAUUUUUCUUACUUGGUUCGCUUUUCUUUAAGACAUUGAUAUGGUUCACCCAAGCCGACCAUAUCCCACUACAGCUACCAUAUUCCAUCUCGUUUAUCUAAAAAUCCUAUAGACUUUUUAUUUUCUGAAACUCUAUUAUUAAAGUUUCUCUAAAGGAUUUUCCACCAAGAGUUGUGUGAAAAGAGAAGUCUCUUAGUUUAUUAUUAUAUAAAAUAAAAAUAUCAGAUUAGAAAACAAUUAAUAGAUUAUUACAUUACUUAGAUUACAAGUUCCACAAAAAUGUACACGCAAAUAAUCUGUAACAUAAAAAUUCCUAAGAAAAGAUUCGGACAUUUUUGAAGGGAGCAAGAAAUGGAAUCAUUCGUUGAUUCCCUCCAAUCCGUUUAUAUUAUUUUAUUUAUUUAUUAUUUAUCUUUUUAUAUAUGUAUAAAAAAAAAAGAAACUGAAGACGAAAAUGGCAAUCAGUUUGGAAACCGCCUCCUUCAUAUAUUCCUCUUCUCUCCCUCUCUCACACCAAAAAGGAAAGAAGAAAAAAAAAAAGAAGUUAUUCAAAGAAGCAGAGCCACGUGACUCGUUCUACGCUUGACUCAUCACAGAUCAUUCUUUUGUAAAGCUUCAAUUUUUCAAAAUUAGGGUUAUUGUGUGUGUAUUUGGGCGUAAGCUCCACCGCAUUGAUAUUUGACAAAAUCAAAUCCGAUUAUUUCGAUUUUGAUCCAAACGGGUUUCGAGAUUUCACCUUGAUUCGUUGCAGUUCGGACCCAAUUCACAGGUAUGAUUAGUCUCGGUUCUAGCUUCGUUUCUCGUAGUUAAAAAGGAACGAAAAAGUCUCCGCCUUUUUUUUUACCUAAGUUCAUAAUUGCUUUUGAAAUUGGAUAUUUACAGCUUUUAUUGAGAAUGUUUCUGUUGACGGGUCAGAGUUUUUAUUCAUCUUAUGUACUCAGUACUAUGAGAAUUGAAGAUCAUCUAAUGUUAACAAGUCCAGGUUGUAUGUGUGUUGAUGACUACUACAUCUUUGGAAACUUGAGUUCUUGGCUAUUAAAUUGCUUUAAGAAGCUUAGUUUAAUACAAUCAGUGAAAGAAUCAUUGGUAUUCAGACAGCGGUUUUAGAUUCUCCUCCAAGUGAAAUUUGAAUAUCCAAUAUAACUUGCGACUGCUUUAUCAAAACUUACUGUUUCAUUAGUGGAUCAAAAUGUGCUAAAUAUCUUCUCAUUUUUGAUUAGGCACAAGGUUUUGUUAUCGGAAGCUGUCAUUUGUUAACCUUCCGUAGCUCUGCCAAGGUUUGAGCUUUGACCAAGAAACUCAAGAACCACAUGAUAUGGGCCCUGACAAACAUUCGACUCGUUUAUUGAAUACCCUCAAAAUGGAGAGGGUCAGAACGAUUCUAACCCAUACUUACCCUUACCCGCACGAGCAUUCUCGCCAUGCUAUCAUUGCUGUGUUUCUCGGCUGCCUAUUCUUUAUUUCUUCCGAUAACAUGCACACCCUCAUAGAAAAGUUUUCCCUCAAGUGGUGGUCCAUGUAUGCAUGCUUGCUCGGAUUUUUCUACUUCUUUUCUUCUCCUUUUAUUGGCAAGACUAUCAGACCAAACUACUCCAACUUCAGUCGGUGGUACAUUGCCUGGAUUUUAGUUGCAGCUUUGUAUCAUCUUCCUAACUUUCAGUCAAUGGGUUUGGAUUUGAGGAUGAAUUUGUCCUUGUUUUUGACAAUUUACAUAUCUUCAAUAGUCUUCCUUGUUGUCUUCCACAUCAUUUUUCUUGCCCUUUGGUAUGUUGGUCUUGUUUCUCGCGUGGCUGGAAGACGCCCUGAGAUCUUAACCGUUCUUCAAAACUGCGCUGUAAGUUCGCAAAUUAAUUGCAGCUUUUACCUUAAACUUAAAAUUUACUGUCUUUCAUCCCUGCAGGUUCUUAGCAUGGCUUGCUGCAUCUUUUACAGCCAUUGUGGUAAUCGAGCUAUUCUGAGGCAAAAGCCUCCUCGAAGACAGUAUUCUAGCUUGUUUUCAUUCUGGAAAAGAGAACAUAGGCACAGUACAUGGAUUGCACAAUUAAUUCGUAUGAAUAAGCUGAAAGACCAAGUGUGCUCCUCGUGGUUUGCUCCUGUUGGAUCUGCAAAUGACUAUCCACUGUUAUCCAAAUGGUUCAUUUAUGGAGAGGUAUCUCUUUUUAAGCUCUGAGUAUGAUUUAUUUGUUCACCCUUUUUUCAAAUCAUGUUCCUACCUUGUUUUUUUUUUCUUUUCAGAUUGCGUGCAAUGGUUCCUGUCCUGAUUCAUCUAACGAAAUUUCUCCAAUAUACUCAUUGUGGGCCACAUUUAUUGGUCUUUACAUUGCCAAUUAUGUAGUGGAGAGAUCAACAGGGUAAGUUGCAUGAGCAGCUUUGGUCUUACAUUCCCAUGGGCAUGUUUUAUCUAUAUGUUCUGUUACGCUUUUUUAGGUGGGCUCUGACACACCCUCUGUCAGUAGACAAAGUUGAGAAGCUGAAGAAGGAGCAAAUGAAACCAAAUUUCUUAGAUAUGGUUCCUUGGUAUUCAGGGUAUGUCUAUGCCAAACUAAUAUUUCCCUUUAUUGCUUAGGAAAAAAGCAAGACACUUGACCAGGUGCUGAUUCCUCUAAUUAUAUAUAUAUUUCAGAACAUCGGCUGAUUUGUUUAAAACUGUGUUUGACCUCCUCGUAUCAGUAACGGUCUUUCUUGGCCGCUUUGACAUGCGGAUGCUGCAGGUAUACUUCUUUUCUUUGUGGUAAUUUGAUUCUUCUUUCUGCGGCCAGACAUUUAUGAUAAUUACUUUUUUGCUUCUUUCUUUUUUGGAAAAUGUUAAGGCUGCAAUGACCAAAUCUUGUGAUGGAACCAAGAGGGAAGAACUUUUAUAUGACCACCUUGCUAAUAAGGACAAUUUUUGGUUUGAUUUCAUGGCGGACACUGGUGAUGGUGGGAAUUCAUCAUACGCUGUAGCGAAACUUCUUGCUCAGCCUACUCUCCAAGUCUCGGUGGAUGGUGAAACUAGACCGUUGCCUCGGGGUAAUGUACUGAUUAUUGGAGGAGAUCUUGCGUAAGUGCUUUACAUAUUCUCUAGCUUUCGGCAGUUCUAAAUGUAACCGCUGAUGUCUUUUCGAUGUUGUACCUCAGGUACCCCAAUCCAUCAGCGUUUACAUAUGAAAAACGUCUCUUUUGUCCAUUUGAGUAUGCGCUACAGCCUCCCCAUUGGUAUAAAAAUGACUCUAUUGCCGUUGACAAGCCAGAAUUACCUGAGGGAGUGAAAGAUCUAAAGGAUUAUGAUGGUCCCCAAUGUUUUCUCAUCCCUGGAAACCAUGGUGAGUUCCAGGCCCCAUCUUCAUUUUGGUUUGUUCUCCCAUUUCCUCUGACUAUACCAUUUUUGUUUAUUUAUUUCCUAGACUGGUUUGACGGACUCAAUACAUUCAUGAGGUAUAUAUGCCAUAAGAGUUGGUUAGGCGGCUGGUUAAUGCCCCAGAAGAAAAGCUAUUUUGCGUUGCAGCUACCUAAGGGAUGGUGGGUGUUUGGUUUGGAUCUUGCACUUCAUGGUGAUAUUGAUGUUGACCAGUUCAAAUUCUUCGCCGAAUUGGUGAAGGAGAAGGUAACUUUUUUUUAUAUCAUAUUCUAGAUUAUAGUGGCUUUGUCUUUUCAGAUUAUUCAAUUUUCUUAAAGUAUAAAUAUUUUUCCUCAAUUAGGUUAAGGAGGAUGAUGCGGUGAUCAUUAUCACGCAUGAACCCAGCUGGCUUCUUGAUUGGUACUGGAGCAGCGAUACAGGGCAGAAUCUUUGUGGUAAUUUGAUUCUUCUUUCUGCGGCCAGACAUUUAUGAUAAUUACUUUUUUGCUUCUUUCUUUUUUGGAAAAUGUUAAGGCUGCAAUGACCAAAUCUUGUGAUGGAACCAAGAGGGAAGAACUUUUAUAUGACCACCUUGCUAAUAAGGACAAUUUUUGGUUUGAUUUCAUGGCGGACACUGGUGAUGGUGGGAAUUCAUCAUACGCUGUAGCGAAACUUCUUGCUCAGCCUACUCUCCAAGUCUCGGUGGAUGGUGAAACUAGACCGUUGCCUCGGGGUAAUGUACUGAUUAUUGGAGGAGAUCUUGCGUAAGUGCUUUACAUAUUCUCUAGCUUUCGGCAGUUCUAAAUGUAACCGCUGAUGUCUUUUCGAUGUUGUACCUCAGGUACCCCAAUCCAUCAGCGUUUACAUAUGAAAAACGUCUCUUUUGUCCAUUUGAGUAUGCGCUACAGCCUCCCCAUUGGUAUAAAAAUGACUCUAUUGCCGUUGACAAGCCAGAAUUACCUGAGGGAGUGAAAGAUCUAAAGGAUUAUGAUGGUCCCCAAUGUUUUCUCAUCCCUGGAAACCAUGGUGAGUUCCAGGCCCCAUCUUCAUUUUGGUUUGUUCUCCCAUUUCCUCUGACUAUACCAUUUUUGUUUAUUUAUUUCCUAGACUGGUUUGACGGACUCAAUACAUUCAUGAGGUAUAUAUGCCAUAAGAGUUGGUUAGGCGGCUGGUUAAUGCCCCAGAAGAAAAGCUAUUUUGCGUUGCAGCUACCUAAGGGAUGGUGGGUGUUUGGUUUGGAUCUUGCACUUCAUGGUGAUAUUGAUGUUGACCAGUUCAAAUUCUUCUCCGAAUUGGUGAAGGAGAAGGUAACUUUUUUUUAUAUCAUAUUCUAGAUUAUAGUGGCUUUGUCUUUUCAGAUUAUUCAAUUUUCUUAAAGUAUAAAUAUUUUUCCUCAAUUAGGUUAAGGAGGAUGAUGCGGUGAUCAUUAUCACGCAUGAACCCAGCUGGCUUCUUGAUUGGUACUGGAGCAGCGAUACAGGGCAGAACGUGAGGCAUCUGAUAUGCGACGUUUUAAAGUACAGGUGUAAACUCAGAAUGGCAGGGGAUUUGCAUCAUUAUAUGCGACAUUCAUGUACUCAAUCAGAUGCGCCUGUCCAGGUCCAACAUCUUCUUGUAAAUGGCUGUGGAGGAGCUUUUCUACAUCCCACCCAUGUGUUCAGCAAAUUUUCAAAGUACUAUGGGGCUUCCUAUGCAAGCAAGGCUGCCUACCCUUCUUUUCAUGAUUCUAGCAAGGUUAAAACUUUUAUUCCUCCAGUUUCUUUACUCCUCAUCCCUGGAAACCAUGGUGAGUUCCAGGCCCCAUCUUCAUUUUGGUUUGUUCUCCCAUUUCCUCUAACUAUACCAUUUUUGUUUAUUUAUUUCCUAGACUGGUUUGACGGACUCAAUACAUUCAUGAGGUAUAUAUGCCAUAAGAGUUGGUUAGGCGGCUGGUUAAUGCCCCAGAAGAAAAGCUAUUUUGCGUUGCAGCUACCUAAGGGAUGGUGGGUGUUUGGUUUGGAUCUUGCACUUCAUGGUGAUAUUGAUGUUGACCAGUUCAAAUUCUUCUCCGAAUUGGUGAAGGAGAAGGUAACUUUUUUUUAUAUCAUAUUCUAGAUUAUAGUGGCUUUGUCUUUUCAGAUUAUUCAAUUUUCUUAAAGUAUAAAUAUUUUUCCUCAAUUAGGUUAAGGAGGAUGAUGCAGUGAUCAUUAUCACGCAUGAACCGAGCUGGCUUCUUGAUUGGUACUGGAGCAGCGAUACAGGGCAGAACGUGAGGCAUCUGAUAUGCGACGUUUUAAAGUACAGGUGUAAACUCAGAAUGGCAGGGGAUUUGCAUCAUUAUAUGCGACAUUCAUGUACUCAAUCAGAUGCGCCUGUCCAGGUCCAACAUCUUCUUGUUAAUGGCUGUGGAGGAGCUUUUCUACAUCCCACCCAUGUGUUCAGCAAAUUUUCAAAGUACUAUGGGACUUCCUAUGCAAGCAAGGCUGCCUACCCUUCUUUUCAUGAUUCUAGCAAGGUUAAAACUUUUAUUCCUCCAGUUUCUUUACUAUGCGUUCUGAUGUUAAAUGGUAGUGGUUUCUACUGUUUGCAGAUUGCUUUGGGGAAUAUUUUGAAGUUCCGGAAAAAGAACUGGCAAUUUGAUUUCAUAGGUGGCAUUAUAUACUUUAUCCUGGUCUUUUCAUUGUUCCCUCAGGUGCGUUUUAAGCUCGGUCUUCCUAUUUAAACAGUGCACAAGAAAAUUGAUAUCUCAUUCCCUCUCGUUCAUCAAUUGGUUUCAGUGUAAGCUAGCCCACAUCUUACGAGGUGAUUCCUUUUCUGGACACCUGGAGAGUUUCUUAGGCACAGUGUGGACCGCUUUUGUGUAUGUGAUGGAACAAUCAUACGUGUCGUUUACGGGUGUCCUGGUGUUGCUAAUCACUGCAAUCAUAUUUGUGCCCUCAAAGAUAUCUCGGAAGAAAAGAGUGGUAAUCGGAGUUCUCCAUGUUACUGCUCACCUGAUGGCAGCUCUGAUUCUCAUGUUGAUGUUGGAACUAGGCAUAGAGAUCUGUAUUCAACAUAAUCUACUUGCAAAUUCUGGUCAGUUUCCAUUCACUAUAUACUGAAUUGUUUGGGGUUUCUAUGACAAAGCGCAGUGUCUAAUUUGUGACACUUUUGUUCACACAGGGUAUCAUACGUUGUAUCAGUGGUACAAAUCAGUGGAAAGCGAGCAUUUCCCGGACCCUACUGGCCUUAGAGCCCGUAUCGAACAAUGGACGUUUGGCCUUUAUCCAGCGUGUAUCAAGUAUCUUAUGUCAGCAUUUGAUGUUCCUGAGGUAAUUACUGUAUUUUUGUUUUGUGUCUUAACCGAGAACCCAAUGUGAAAAACCGAUCUUGAAUGUGCUUUCAUCAUCAGGUGAUGGCGGUUACCCGGACCAACAUAUGCAAAGAAGGAAUGGAAUCUCUGUCCCGAAGCGGAGCUGUCAUAUAUUAUGCUUCUGUCUUCCUUUACUUCUGGGUCUUUUCAACACCUGUGGUGUCUUUGGUGUUUGGAAGCUACUUGUAUAUCUGCAUCAACUGGCUCCACAUCCAUUUUGAUGAAGCUUUCUCUUCACUCCGCAUUGCCAAUUACAAAUCUUUCACUCGUUUCCACAUCAAAGAGAAUAAAGACAUUGAAGUAUUCACUCUCGCGGUUGACAAGGUAAAAAAAAAAGAAAACACUCUACAGUUACACCAAAACUGAUAUUGAAGAUGCUUAGAUGAUUGUGAUGAACCAACCUUUAUGGACACUGUCAUUGUUUUCGUUGAUUAAAUGCAUGUUUUUAAGGAACUUUAACGAGAAUUAUGUGUAUAUGAUAAUGAGUGUAGGUGCCAAAAGACUGGAAGCUAGACAAACAUUGGGAUGCAGAGCCGAAACAGAGUGGGGUGAUGAGCCAUAAGAGAGAGUUUCCAAGUAAAUGGUGUGCAUCAUCAGCGCAACAAGACCCUGUUGCUACCGUGAAAGUAGUUGAUUAUUUCCUUAUUCAUAGAUCACAGAACCAAAACGGAGAAUGUUAGAUAUUGUUCAGUUCCUUGAUUGUUUCCCUCUUUUAUGUAUAAAUUUAAAAAUGUAGUGAAUGAAUGGAGAUUGAUGGAAUACAUAUAUAUGGCUUUUAUAGGUUCUAAAGUCUAGUAUUCUGUACACUUGUUAUAUCAUAGUUAAACAUCCGAGUGAUAUAUAAAAAAAAAAUCAUUUUAGGGGGUUAUUGGUUCUUGUUCUUGAAAUCUUACUAGAAUCCGUUGUUAUUGGUUUAAAAAUUUUCAAAAUCCAUUCAAAUCUUUGGUUAUUCAAAAAGUUUAGUUAUUAUUGAUUUUCUAAUUCUAACUAAAUCUACUGUUAUUGGAAGACAAAUUCUAUUUCAUUUUUACUCAUAAGAUUCAACUUUCAAAAUAUUAUAUGUAUACAUGUGCUUUUUAAAAUCCUUGAGAUAAAAACACUAGAAAACAAAAUAAUUAUUCUUACCAAAUAUCUAUUGCUCCUAAAAUCCAAAUUAUAUGUUCAAAACUAUAAUUCAUUACAUUUAUAUACUUUUACAUUUUUGAAUAUAUAAUUAUUUUUUAAAAUAUUAUAUUUUAAUAUAAUAUAAUAAUUACAUUUACAAAUAUUAAUAAUUACAUUUAUUUACAAAUAUUAAUAACUAAAUCUAGUGUUAUUGGGAGACGAAUUCUAUUCAUUUUUACUCAUAAAACUCAACUUUCCAAAUAUCAUAUGUAUACAUGUGCUUUUUAAAAUCUUUGAGAUAAAAAAACUAGAAAACAAAAUAAUUAUUCUUACCAAAUAUCUAUUGCAUCUUAAAUCCAAAUUAUAUGUUCAAAACUAUAAUUCAGAAUUAUUUUCUUUUUAAUUUGAAAGCAAAACAUAAAUAAUCAUGCUAUAUCAUUUAGAAAAUAAAUAGAUUCUAUAUUUAUUUUACAAAAAAUGAUAGAAAAGAAGUAAUACAAAUUCAUGAAAAUUUAUAUCAAUCCAAAAAAAUUAUGAUCAAAUUUCAUAAGUUAAUGUAUAUAAAUUUAAGUAACUUUGGCUCUUUCUCUCAAUCAAUACAACAAUCUUAUCAUCCCCUUAUCAAGCCUUGUGUUAAUCUUAAGACCAGUUCUAGUAUUACAGAUCAAGGGAGAACAAAAAUAUAGUGGAUGGCUCCACAAGAUAUAAAAAGGGUUAGGGCAUUUUUAUGAAGAAGGUGCGUAUUCUUGGAUGGCUGUUGCUAACUUAUCCCUAGCCUCUGCUGUCUUUGUCCUUAUCAGAAAGGUUCUAGGUGUUACAUUCUCGUUGGAAUCCUCCUGUUGCAGGUUAGAUAAAAAUCAGAGAAACUACCAAACCACCAUGAAAACGCUAAAGAAAAAGCUUCAGCAGAUUCUCAUUUACCGAGGAGUGAAAUAUUGCAACAAGUGCGUUCUUCUGUGCACUCGUCUUGAUUCCAGCGUACAGUAGAGCAUUAAGAAGCAGCUUCCCGACCUAGUUAACAAAAUCAGUUUAAAAUCUAUGGACCAAAGUUGGAAGUUAACUGUGUAUUUGUAUUGAAAUCAUACAUCGUUUCGGACAAGGAUUGUGGGUUUAGAUUCUUUUGUCCCCUUGUCGACGCCUUCUUUGCAUUUUAUGCAGAGAUUCCCAGCUCCUUUAUCUUUCCAUGCACCUUUAUCUGUUGGGUCUUUGACUGCAUAAUAACAUUGAUACACAGGUUAUAAUCAACCAAUUACUACAGUCACAGCAAGAACAGAUCAUCAAGGUAACUAAAGUAGAGACAGAGAGAAUAAACUCUUUUACAAGCCUAUGACACCUAAGACGACUUUGAUGAUGACACCCUUAAUGGUUUGCAUACAUACGUUAUUCAUAUUACUUUGAUUAUUACCUUGACAUAAAGUUUGCAUUUGACUUCAUGGACCACAGUAACACCCUUCUCUUCGGUCUUUCUGACAGAUGGGCUGCUCGGUUGAGGUUCUUCAUCUUCUGCAGAUUUGAGAAAGAAAACAGGUAAUUCACAGCAUAAUCUUUCAAAGACGAAUGGUUAUGAAGCAGGAAGAAUAGUGAUAAGCUCACCACCGUCUGCAUCUUCUGGGGAAUCCCGCUUUGUAGGUAUGGAAACUGGAGUAACUAAUACCAGAAAACAAGGAAAUUAGAGGUUAGGUCUCUGUGAUAUAAACUAUUGUCCAGAAAAUGAUUCUUUAAAUGGCAAAAGUAUCUAGAUACCUCCGGAUGAAAAAGGAUUUUGAUUAUUAGAAAAUGAGAAAGAAGGUUGGCUAUUGCUUUUGGCUAGACCAAACUGGCCACUACUAAAAGAUCCAGUUUGACUAUUGGAUGCUAAACCAAAUGGACUGCUGGAAAAAUUGGAAGAUUGAUUGGUGGAGAAGAUGCCAGGUUGAGUGUUUGAAGCAAAGAGGCUGUUAUUUGAAGCUGGUUUAACGUAGUUAUUCUCGACUUCACCCACCUGUUUCUUCUCUGCUCCAGUAGAUUCAGGGGAUACAUUAUCCCCCCUUCCCUUACUUUGUUUUAGCCAGUUGACAACAUCUUUAAACUUUUCCUGCAAGAGAGAAAAUGGACGUGAAGUAACCAAAAGAAGCAAGACACUCAAGGGGCGGUUAGCUACUUUAUCCUUUCAAAACUGAAAAAAUAAACCCAGCAAUAGACAAAACCAUACCCUAACCAAAUAUACUUUUCAUGUUGUGAAAAAAAAAAGUAUCAUGAUGUAACUGUAGAAUAUUUAUUACCAGAAUGUUGGAAGCAUGGCUAAUGUAGUCAUUCAUCCCAUUUUCCCAGAGUUCAUCAGGAUGAUUCUUCAGCUGCAUUUGCACCCAACUGAUUGAUUAUACAUUGAAGCAUAAUUAGUUUCUUGUUGAAGUCAUACAAACAAUAAAGGUUCCUUCCACUGGUUUUGCAUUCUUAAACUGAAUAUGGGAUUGAGGCCACAGAUUCAGUUCCAAUAAAAGUUAAACCUCAAAAUUAAAAGAAAAAAAAAAUAAAAUAAAAAACCAAACCAACUGCUUCAGCUACUACUUGGAUUGAAAGAUGGAGACUUUAUAUUCAUACAAGUCACCCAAUACCUAUAGAGAGCUUGCUAAAACGUUACUAAUCAAGAAUACCCAAAGUGUCAACUUUUAAAUCUGACUUGUUAACGAGAAAAAAAGGAAGAAGCUCACGGGAGAUUGGUUGGCUUCGGGAAACGAUUCGGAAACAGCGGCGCGUUUGCGUCCCCUCAUGAUUCAGUAACGGCGUUUUACUCGGCGGAAGGAGAAUCGAACAAAAAUGAGGCAGCUGGUAAAUGGGGGGAAUUUUAUUUAGGGUUUUAUUGUGCCUUUCUUCAAAUUUUAAAAAGAGAAGAUGAAGAAAAGAUGCUCUUUUGCAGAUGCUUUUCCCCAGGAAAUAUGCUUUGUUCAAUAUUAAUAAACAUAAAUUGAAAAAUAGUGGAAAACACAUCAAAACAAAAAUCUACUACUAAGCAUUUUUUUCCCAUUUUUUUUUUUUUUGAACACUCCCAAAUUACAAUAUAGCUAGGAUGAUUCCGUACCCUGUCUUAUUUUAUAAACUAGUGUUUUACUCACUCCUAAAACUGCCAUAUGAGACUCCAUAUCAGAAAGUCGACCUCCUACGUUGCGCCACGUGUCCAUUUAAAUAAAACUCUAAGUUUCAUUAAAUCAGGUUUGUUAUGUAUGGGCUAAGCCUGGGCAUUCGGAUACCCGUUCGGGAUCCGAACCGAGAACCGAAUAAGUAUCCGAAGAUAUCUGAAAUGUAAAUAUAUAUUUACAAAUAUUAUUUAUAAUUAUUUUUAAUAAUUUACAUUUAAAUUAUAAAUUAAAGAUAUUAGUUAUUUUCAAUACUUUUAUGUAUUUUUGGAUAAAAUAUGAUAGUUUGGAUAAAAAAAUACUCAAACAAAACCGUAUAUAGUGAGUAUUUUUGGUUAUUUUUUUAUAUUUUUGGAUAGUUUGAAUACAAAAUUCCCGAACCGAAUCGGGUAAUAUGGUUACUUUGGGUACUAUUAUCCGAAUCCAUUUCAGAUACAUUGGAUUCAAUUUUUUUUUUUUUUUUUUUUUUUUUUACAUUGGAUUCAAUUAUUUUCAAGUCCCUCUGAAAGCAAAGAAAUUAACAACAGUGUAGCUAUUAACAACUUAUUAAGCCAAACAACCGUUAGAAAAAAGAAGGUAAAGCUAGCGAACAUCAUUACAAAAUCUGCUAACAUAGGAAAAUCAAUCACAUGUUCAUGUUUCAUGUCUCCAACAACAGAUAUUCUCAGAUUUCUUUUUUCAAAACCUAACAACCUCUAAAUAAUUAAAUGGUUAAAAGAUCUACAAAAAUAUGGGCCAACGCGACGGCCAACCCUUCACAAAGCAAAGCACCUUCAAAGUGCCACCUUGCCGUAAUAAACAGAGCAUCAAUGUCUUUUCAGGAGGAAUGGAGGAUCAAGCUCUUAGGCAGGGAGGAGAUAACAAGAAAAACCCACGGUUAAUCAAUAUGAAGAGUUUGAAAACACAGUCAUAAACCGUUGACCUUCGCUUUCUAUGUUUUUCUUUUGCAGCCGUUUUAGAACGGUAACCAUAUGGUUGAAGUAGAAAUUUAUCGAAGCUCAGCAAAAUCAUUAGGUAUCCUUCUUCCAGGUGGAUACAAUGAUUGACCGUCCAAUGGCAUUAACACACACACGCUAUAUUGUGUAUAACUGUCCAAGACUUAUCUUACUCUGCUGAUCAAGUGCCUGGAGCAAUAUCUAAGAGAGUUUAUUCAUUUUUGAUUUAUCAUGUUCUCUUAAGGAGGUGUACUCCUUUUUGUGUUCAAAAUCCUGCUACCUUUUUGUUUGUUUCUCAACGAUAUUGGAUAGGUUAGUUAGUGUUGAUUUACUCUCCCACAUUUGUUGUAGGGUUGUGCAUGGUUAUGCAUACCCAACAAACAAUGCAGAAUGCUACAAGAUUUUUGAAAAGAACAAGCCUGAGCAGCUUUCUUUUUGUGCCAGUACUGUUAUUUGUUUUUUAUUCGUUCAUUUUCAAGGCUGUGUGUCGGAAAAUACUUAUUUUUAGUGACUAUCAAUUACAUGAAAAUUGUUGCUUUUUUGACAAUUUUUUAGGGGGUUGGUGAUGCGUUUGUUUUAUAGUAUAUAUUCUAAAACAGGGUAAGUAUAUAUUUAUGACAAACAUGAGUCUAAAGUGCAUAUUUUGGUGGAUAACAUAGACGAAUUAUUUCUACUAUGUCAAUGCCAAUUGAAUCAAUGUUAUUAGCUGUGAAUUUGAACUUUUUGGUAUUUUUCAUUUCUUCGGAUGAUACGAGUCAAGUAUUUUCUUCAUUGGUUACAACGGUGGCAGGUGUGGAAUCCGCUAUUGGGUUAGCCAUUUUUGUUAUAAUUUUCUGAGUCCGAGGGACUAUUGCUGUAGGAUUUAUUAAUAGCAUUCAAGGUUAAUCAAGAUACAAAUUAUUCAACUGCAAAUGACAUUACAACUCACAUGGUGAUGCCAUAAAAGCAAAAAUUGAAAACAAAAAUUACUUACAAACCAACAACUUAAAUUAAUAAAUUUUAGCAAAAAUUUUUUUUAAUUAAUAAAAUAGUAUAUCUCAAUGCCAACAAACGUUCAUUACGCAACGUCUCUAUAUUGAAAAAGAAAUGUUAUGAAACUAAUAUAAUCUUUAUAAUGCCACAAAGAAAGUGUCAUCUCAAUAAUCUGGAAAAUCGUAGCCGUGAUUGUUAUUACUAUACACAAAUGGAGAAGUUCUUGGAGUUAGUUUUACGGUGAGUAACAAGUGUCUACACUCAUCGACCACUAUUUUGAUUAGCUUUGCUUGACUACCUUCUUCGCAUUCAAUAUAACAAUCUACUUUUAAUAAGAAAUACAACUUCAAAUAAUCACCAUUUCCACUCCAAAAACAUUUCGAAAGACUAUGAUUUCAACAUAUAAAGUGAUUACUCUUAUAACAUACACACAAAAAUUUAUCCACAACCCAAUCCUUCCCAACUUAAAAUAUUACAAACCACAAAUAAUCCACCAAAUAUGGGAUCAAAGUUUUGUAAAAUGAAACAGCAUGAAGACCAUUUGAAGCUCUCAGAGCAUAUCAAUGGCACAUCUCUUUAAUAUCGAAACAACUAAUGUUUUUCAUAAAAGACAAAAAUCAUUAUCAUACACAUCUUUUGCAAAUGCAAACCUAAAACACAAACCAUAAAAUCAUAUAAAAAAUAAUAACCUAGAUCACAAGUAAAAUAUAUCCCCCGUAGGGCGGACCAACCCUAGUUUUUCGUAUUAUAGAGUUAAAUCAACCUUUGUUUUGUCUUACCAGAAACACGUUUUUUUUUGUCAACAAACGGCUAUUCUAUUACUCAAACAUGAGGUGGUCUGGGUAACGAGACCGGAAUAGAACAACCAAUAAAACAAAGAGAUCUAUGAAAAGAUCGAGCAUUCCUAGCUAAAGAAUCAGCAAUUUCAUUCUGUGUUCUUGGCACGUAGGUGAUCUUGAAAUCCGAAUAACACAUGAGGAUAAUUGAAUGGCUUCCAGCUCCAUUGAAAAGUUUGGCCAGGCUUGGGGUUCCUUUAUCAUGGCUAUCAGGUCCUUGCAAUAUGUUCCAAAGUGUUGGCAGUUUGAAUGUUGAAGCAUGCUUUCCAGUGCCCAUUUCAAUGCUUCCAAUUCCGAGUGUAGUGCUGUCUCCCGCCUCCUUAAGUUCCGUGUUCCCAUAAGUUGGAUCUUUCCCGUGUUAUCCUUCCAUACCCAUCCAAUUCCACUGAAAAGAUCUGUGGAUGUCCAAAAGCCAUCCACCAUACACAUAUUAUUCAAGUUUAAGGCUUGUACCACUUCAGUGUUUGGUGCCUGUGGGGGAUUAGGAAUGGCUUCCAGCUCCAUUGAAAAGUUUGGCCAGGCUUGGGGUUCCUUUAUCAUGGCUAUCAGGUCCUUGCAAUAUGUUCCAAAGUGUUGGCAGUUUGAAUGUUGAAGCAUGCUUUCCAGUGCCCAUUUCAAUGCUUCCAAUUCCGAGUGUAGUGUUGUCUCCCGCCUCCUUAAGUUCCGUGUUCCCAUAAGUUGGAUCUUUCCCGUGUUAUCCUUCCAUACCCAUCCAAUUCCACUGAAAAGAUCUGUGGAUGUCCAAAAGCCAUCCACCAUACACAUAUUAUUCAAGUUUAAGGCUUGUACCACUUCAGUGUUUGGUGCCUGUGGGGGAUUAGGUAUAGACUCCUUAGCAUUAUACCAAGCCUGACAUUCACUCUCUGCAUACCUGACCAGUUCCAAAGGGUCCCUGUCAAUCCCCCUGAAUAGCUUAUCAUUCCUCGCCUUCCAUAUGUACCAGAUUAUCCAGGGGUAAGGGUCUCUAUCAUCUUCUGGCCUUCUAAUUGUAUUUUUCCUCCAAAAAGGUAGUCCAUAUUGGCGUACAUACUCGGUAUGGGGAGAGUUUGGGGGUUUGACGGCGUAGAUGAUAGUUCCCAUGCUUGUAACGCUGGUGGACAUUCAAAGAUCGCGUGGGUUACAUUUUCCUCUGGCUCUCCACUUCUUGGGCAGUAAUUAUCACACCGCAGAUUGCGACGUAUUAAGUUCCUUGUUACUGCUACCUGUCCUGAAAUUAAUUGCCAUAUAAGAUGGCGAAUUUUCUGAGGUGCGUUCACUUUCCAAACAAAUGCUUGAAGUUCAGUGAUGCUAGGUUGUGUAACUUCAGUUUCGAGAAACACGUUUAUAUGAAUAUUAUAUGCAACAAGUUAAUUCAUGUUAUGACUAUUGUCUACUGAGGAAACGCUACAAAACAUGGUGAUAAUUCCAAAUUUCAGCUUGGGUUCAUUUUUUUGAAAGAAAGUUAAAUUAAUUUAACCAAAAAAAUCUUUUUACAGCACAAUUGCUCUUGUUUGAGAAAACCAAAACUAUUUGGUUUACAUCAUAUCUUUUGUUAUCUAAAAAGGAACCAUGUUGCCAUGGCCUUCCGAUAGAUUGAAUCCUCCCUUGUUUUCCAACUUGAAAUAUGGUUUUUGACCUGUUUGUCGAUGAGUUUAAUAAAACUAACAUCUGAAUUACCCGCUUCACCAAACUUUCUACCAUACAAUUCCUUCCAAAUAGCAUAUAUGGAAGCUUAAAAAACAUAUCUGGGGAGGAAUAGCUCAACCUUACUUCUCCUAAGGAGUAUCAUUAUAAAUUCUCAAUCUUUUGAAUACUGCGUGGACAGUAGUUUGUGUGUGAGAUUUUUCCAAACUUCUUCAAAAUAUCGGCAGUUAUGGUUUUUGUUUCUGGCUUUGUUUUGCAUAAACCGCACAAUGUCAAAACCCCUCUGUUCCACUGUGAAAUACGAUCUCUAGUAGGAAAUCUAUUUUGAAUCGCUAUCCCAGCUGUAAAAGAAAACUUUGGGGGUGUUGUGUUGAAACCAAAUACCUCGGUGCCAGUCCACCUAAGGGUGUGCUCCACGCAUGAGGUACCAUGUUUUUUCCAUUGACAAACCAGGAUUAUAUUCAUUGCUCCAUCUCCAGAGCCUGACAACAUCUCUUUUAUAUGAUUCAUUGACAAGCAAAUUAAGUACGUAAAAAAUCGGUUACUACGAUAGGAAUGACAUAAUAAAAGUCUCCAAGCCUGAUUUCCUGUUUUUGAGUAAGAAAAGUGGAUAAAGCAGCGCGGAUUUAGUAGAUCGAGUGGAACAAAAGUGAAUCUAGCAUAUCUAGCGGUAUAAAUGCGGAUCACAUAGAUAUAGAAAUAUAAAAUAGAUGGUUGAAUGGUAUAAACAGAUAAAAGUGGUUCAAUACAUUGUAUAAAUUUGAAAUAAUUUAUAUAAAUGCUUAAAUUGUUAUAUAUUAUUAUAAUUAAAACUAAUUAUUUUAAAAAUACUAAUAAAUAUAAUAAAUAUAAUAAAUACAAUAAGUAUACAUUUUAUAUUCAAAAUAUAAUACAUGAAUAAAUUUAAAUGAAAUUCAAAUAAGAAAAUAAUAUAAACUUUUGAUAGUAAUAGUCAUUAAUUAAUUAUACUAAAUGUAAAAUUAUUAUAUUAUGUCAUUUUAGACAAUAUAUAUUUUAUUAUGUCAAAAAUUAACUAUAAUAAUACAUUGAUAACACUUACAAAAAAAAGUUUUAUAUAAAUUUUUAUAUAUUACUAAAACUAAAGUCUUUAUAAUUUUCAAUAUCAGUUUGUCAAAAAUACAUAUUUCUAAUAAUAAUAGUAAAAAUACAUAAAAUACGAUAUACCAUGGAUUUUACCCACUUUCAGCCAUGGUAUAUAAGUGUUUUAAUAUAUAUUUACUACUAUAUAGAGUCUAUUUAGAGUAUUUACAGGUUCAGGUACGUUCUGGAGAAAUAUGGUGAUUUUGGAACCUUUUGUGGUGCAGAACUGCACAGACGCAUCAUAUGUUUAGCUAUGGAUGGAGACCUUUCCACCGUUAGAUUGAGAUCCUCUUUUGACACAAGCUAUAUCUUUGAGUUAGCUUUCCAAUGCCACCAGGUUGAGGUCAAUCAACAUCUUGUAGCAGAGGUUAUGCCCGGUUUACUGAAGAGUGGUCAGUCUGCCUCGCGAGAGGAAGUUGUCGAGGAGAUGAAGGACUGUCGAUCGAUGAAACAUCAUUGGUAUCGGUCGACAGUGAUUCCAGAAAACAGGCCAAGCCUGUUUCGUGACCAAUUUAGGCCCAGAAAUCACCACAUAUUACCAAUAUACCCCUGGACGACCUGAAACCCUAUUUUACUGUUUCUAAGCCAUUGUUAACGGCUAUGCUUCAUACUAUUCUAUAAAGAGAGAGCUUAGGAUUGAAGAGAGAGAUCUGUACACCUUGAGAGAGGGAAGAUCUUGAAAUCCCUUUGUUUCUUACUCUAUUCUGUUUUUAUUUAUCUAUUGAGUAUUAUUCAGACCAUCAUAACUAUGUGCUGUAUAAAUAUAUCUGAGUAGUUCGUGCUGUUAGGUUUAGGUUUCUCAAUAGGUUGAUACAUGUAAUACUGAAUUAAACUGUUGCUAGGGUGUUUAAAAACAUAGUUCUUCGUCUAGUUGUUCUUAAAGCUAAGUUUAGCAUUGAUCACCCUUUAAACUUAGACCUUAGGAUUAAUUGGGAUCAAGCCAUUGUUUGACCCAAUACCUGAAAAUAAACUAGUAUGAUCUAACUGACUAGAUACAGAAGAGAGUUGAUCUAGUGAGUUAGAGAAUAUAAAUUAAACCUCUCCGUAAAGCUUUCUGGAAGAAGCAUCGAUCGACGCAGCGACAGCUCUGUCGAUCGAUAUUUUGAAAGGUGUAUCGAUCGAUGUUCUUAACGAAUCAUCGAUCGACACUUUCUCGCAAUUAACAUACGAUAGUUCAAAUCCGAGAUCCAUAUUAGAUAAUCAGAUUGAUUAUAUCUUAGUAGAGAGUUGAUCUAGUGAGUUAGAGAAUAUAAAUUAAACCUCUCCGUAAAGCUUUCUGGAAGAAGCAUCGAUCGACGCAGCGACAGCUCUGUCGAUCGAUAUUUUGAAAGGUGUAUCGAUCGAUGUUCUUAACGAAUCAUCGAUCGACACUUUCUCGCAAUUAACAUACGAUAGUUCAAAUCCGAGAUCCAUAUUAGAUAAUCAGAUUGAUUAUAUCUUAGUUUGAAUUGAAGAACAAUUAAUAUCAAUAACCCCUAAAGACCCAACUUAAGUAUUACUUAUCAUACCUUAGAACAUACUUGAAUCUAACUAUUCUCCCAACUGUUAACAACGUCAAAUCAAAUCAAUCGAGCAAUUAUUUUGCUCACCAAUUCAUUUACUGCUUCAAAACCUAUAAAUCAUUUAAUCUAGUCUUAAUUUGAAUACUAUAAAUCUAUUGUGUAAUCCUAAAGUCUCUGUGGAUUCGAUCCCUAAGUACUACAUCUGAACCUCUUAUUUGAGAGAGUAAUUCACUCCUUAGGGUAAUUUGAAUGAUAUUAAAUUUGGCGCCGUUGCCGGGGACUCUUUCUUAUUACCAUUAGAUUAAGUUUAGAAUAUAGUCUAGAUUUUGUUACUGAAUCUGCUUAAGUUUUUCCUCUUUCCCUGCUGACACAGGUACUUAAGAUGGAAGACAUGAAUUUCGGCCCGAAAUCGAUCGACGCUCAGACAACAACAUCGAGCGACGGGUCGACACAAAAAUCGAUCGACGCUCAGACAACAACAUCGAGCGACGGGUCAACCGAAAAGUCGAUAGACAAUAUCGAUCGACGCCAUCCUGCUGGAAGAAAGUAAGUAUGUUCUUACCUGUUUCAACAAUGAAAAAGUAAUUCUAGGAGAUCAAAAAGGUCGAGUAUGCAAUGCAUCAAACCAAAUUAAUUAUAGACAUAGAGCUCCAAUUCCUAUUGGAGUAGCUGUUGUUUUGAAUGCUGGACCGGAGCAUCACCGAACGCUUGGAGAUUGCGACAUGCCUGAUCGGUUCUACACUAACAGGUCUGCGAUCCGUCCUCCAGCAAUUCAAGGAAAAGACUUUGAACUGAAACCCAAAUAUUUCUCUCUAGUAAGUCAGCACCCCUUUCAUGGUCUUCCUCAUGAAAACCCCAUAGACCAUAUCGAAGCACUUGAGGACUUUGUGUCUAACAUCAAGGUGCAUGGAGUCUCUGAAGACUACCUAUUUUGCAAACUCUUCCCGCACUCCCUUGCUGGAGAUGCGAGGCACUGGCUAAAACAAUUGCAGCCAGGAUCUUUGACUUGCUGGAGUGAUAUCAAAAGCGUCUUCCUCAACAACUUCUUCGAUGAUGCACGAACCGAGGAAUUUAGGAAUAAGAUCUAUAAUUUUUCUCAAGGCACUACUAAAGCUUUUAAGGCUUCUUGGUUGAGAUUCAAAGCCUACCAGCAAGACUGCCCACACCAUGGUUUUCCCGAAAUCCAGCUACUUGAUAUUUUCUUCAGAGGUCUCGACUGGACAUACCAAGCGACUUUGGACGUUGCGAGUCAAGGGAACUUCAAAACCAAGACACCUGAAGAUUCUACGAGGCUCAUUGAAAAUGUGGCGUCUAGCACUAGUGCCAAGAAGACUGAUCUCGAGAGGAGGAAGAUGGCCGAGAAUUCGAAUGGAGAUCGGAUAUCUGAGGUGAAAGAAACGUAAGAUUUAGUUCAUGCUUUUGUGAUUGGAGAUGAGCAAGUUCGGUCUGCCGAUGAGAGUCAGAAUUUUCUACGUGAAGGAGAUGAAGAAGAGCUUGUAGACCUCAUCGAUGAAACUGGCUUUCGCGAACAAAGACUUGCCGAUCAGCAGCGAAACAUGAGCUUCACAAGGACCUACAAGGCAGAACAAACUCAUAAGAGCAGGCUGGAAUAUAUGAUGGGGCAAGUUCUAAAAGGCCAGCAGAAAAUGAGUGUGAUUCUCGAUGAAAAAAUGGAUUCCGUGUAUUCUGAUUUACAUGAUAAGUUUGAAACUUUGAGUGACCAUGUGAAUAAAUUGGAUAGCCAAGUUGCAUAACGCUGGGUUUGUCAGAAGGGAUGAAGGAUUCCUUCCUAGAAAAACUGACACCAACCCGAGACGUCAAGUUUGUGCUGUGUCACUAAGAAGCGGAAAACACCUUUCCCGAGUACUGUAGAAAUCAUUUCUGCAGAAAACCCCCUGAAGCUGAAAAGUCAACGAUUAACCUCGAUGAAGAAGAGGGGGAGUCGGAAGAAGAUGUGGAAAUCGAUCGACAAGAAGGGAAUAAUGUCUAUCGACCGACUACGGUAAAUAUCGAUCGACAGAAUGAAAACAAUGUCGAUCGACGCUCGACUCCUACCAAGCCGGCAGUAGAGAGAGUGUAUAGGACUUUGCCACCCUUUCCUCCUAACAGGACGCAAACUAAGUGAGAAUUGGAUAAAGCGAUAUGCAAGAAAGCAUUCGAUAAAAUCACGUUGAAAAUGCCACUAAGUGAUGCCAUAAAAGUUUCAUCUUCGAUUAAGAAAUAUGUAAAAGACAUGGUAUCCAACAGCUUCCCAGCUGCAGAACACAGCGUCAAGAUGAUUUUAGAGGAAGUAAGUGCAAUAAUCUAAGGCGAAACCCUGAUCAAUAGACCUAAUAUGGGCAGUUUUGUUCUAGAUUGCACCAUACGAGACAAGAGUUUUUCUCGAUCCCUUUGUGACCUAGGAUCUAGCGUAAAUCUCAUGCCGCACUCUGUCGCGAUAUCCCUGAGAUACGACGAGUUCAAACCCGCUGAAAUAAUUUUGGUUCUUGCUGAUAGAUCCGUUAGAGUACCUGAGGGAGUACUAGAUGACGUGCCGAUAAGAAUUAACGACUGUCAUGUACCAACGGAUUUCGUUGUGUUGAAAUACCAGAAUGAACCAGAAGAUCCCCUCAUCUUAGGUAGACCAUUUUUAGCUACUGCUGGUGCAAUCAUCGACGUCAAGGAAGGUCGGAUAAGUUUAAACAAUGGAAACAUUCCAAUGACCUUUGAUAUGGAAAAACUGAUAAAACGACCCUUAAUCGAUAAACAAGCCUCUUACGUGGACGAUAUCUCUGAAUUGGCUGAAGAAUCCUUCAUAGACCAAUGCUCACAUGAUCCCCGGAAAAAAGUGCUCACAUCUACCGAAGGGGAAACAUUUAGCAUCGACAUCAGAGCUGAUGAAUACGCGGGAUUAAUGGACGGAAGUAUAGAAAUAGCAAAUGUCGAUGAUAUGGAGGAUGAUGAUUCGGAAAUCAACAUCGAUCGAUAUUUAAAGGCCGCCGUCGAUCGACAACCAUCCCCUCUAGAGAAUUGGAAUCCCGAAAAAGCACCAAAAAUUGAGUUAAAGCAAUUGCCCGCCGGACUCAAGUAUGCUUUUCUCUACAAUAAUUCUUAUCCCGUAAUCGUAAAUGAAAACCUAACCAACGAAGAACUUACGUUGUUAUUAAAUAAACUGCGCAAGUAUAGGAAAGCCCUCUGAUACUCUCUCGAGGAUAUUCCUGGUAUCUCUCCAGAUCUGUGCAUGCACCGGAUUCACUUGGAAGACGAUUCCAAAUCGUCAGUGGAACAUCAAAGAAGGCUAAACCCGAACUUGAAAGAAGUUGUUAAGAAGGAAAUUAUCAAACUUCUAGAUGUUGGAAUCAUCUACCCAAUUUCGGAUAGCAACUGGGUGAUCCCCGUGCAUGUUGUACCUAAGAAAAGCGGAAUUACAGUGGUUAAGAAUUAUAAAAACGAACUCAUUCCCACGCGAACUGUCACUAGACUUCGAAUGUGUAUCGAUUAUAGGAAGCUAAACGCUGCCACCAGAAAAUAUCACUUUCCCUUACCCUUCAUUAAUCAAAUGGAAAGAUUGGCAAAUCACCAAUACUACUGUUUUCUUGACGGAUACUCUUGAUUUUUCUAAAUCCCUAUACAUCCUGACGAUCAAGAAAAGACCACCUUUACAUGCCCUUACGGAAAAUUUGCAAACCGCAGAAUGCCAUUCGGUCUUUGUAAUGCCCCUGCCACUUUCCAACAAUGCAUGAUGUCAAUCUUUACAGAUGUGAUAGAAUAUUUCAUGGAAGUCUUUAUGGACGAUUUUUCCGUAUAUGGAUCCAGCUUCAAAAACUGUCUCGAUAACCUAUGAAAAGGCCUGGCAAGAUGUGAAGAAAAGAACCUCGUUCUAAAUUGGGAAAAAUGCCACUUUAUGGUUAACGAUGGAAUCGUCCUCGAAUAUAAAGUGUCUGCUGCUGGCAUAGAAGUAGAUCGGGCGAAGAUUGAGGUAAUGACCGGCCUGCCUGUACCCACGAACGUAAAAGACGUGAGAAUUUUUCUCGGACAUGCCGGAUUUUACAGGAGGUUCAUACAGGAUUUUAGCAAAAUCGCUAGACCUCUCACCUCCCUCCUCUGUAAAGAAGUUAUAUUCGACUUCUCACCAGAAUUCGUAAAGUCUUUUGAGGAAAUAAAUAAAGCCUUGAUAACUGCCCCCAUCGUACAAGCACCUGACUGGAAUCUUCCUUUCGAAAUCAUGUGCGAUGCAAGCGAUUUCGCUGUAGGAGCAGUUCUAGGCCAAAGAAAAGACCAAAAGCUACAUGCAGUUUACUAUGCCAGUCGAACACUCGACGAGGCACAAAGGAAUUACGCAACAACAGAAAAAGAACUGCUUGCUGUAUUUUAUGCAUUUGAAAAGUUCCAUCAAUAUCUGGUUGGUUCGCGAGUCAUCGUUCAUACUGACCACGCUGAAAUUAAAUAUUUAAUGCAAAAGAAAGAUGCGAAACCACGACUCCUGUGAUGGAUCCUUCUACUUCAAGAAUUCGACAUCGAGAUUAAAGAUAAAAGAGGAGUAGAAAACGGAGUUGCAGAUCAUCUUUCCCGGAUACGAAUAGAAGAUGACGUUCCUAUCGAUGAUUUCUUACCAACGGAAAACGUUUACCAAACGGAUUCAGUCUUCGGAAAUAUUUGUCUCACUUCCGAGGAACUGUCGAUCGACGACGACAAUGCUAUGUCAAUCGACACCCUAGAUGAUCUAAAUAAAGAAAUAAAUCCCAUAACCCUCACCUUCGAUAUAAAAGUAAACGUCGCAUACAACGAGCCACACCCUGACCAUGAUUCCCCCUAGAUGAGAGUCUGCAUCGGGAAGUGCACGCAGUCGGACAAGGUUCAAAGAGCAGACCUUGGUACGCUCAUAUAGUGAACUAUUUAGCUCCUGAUAGAACCCGAAGAGUUGAGAGGGUAUACAAGGAAGAAGUUUUUAAGAGAAGUUAAGAGAUAUCACUGGGACGAGCAAUAUCUCUACAAACAUUGCUCUGACGGGAUAUAUAGAAGUUGCGUCGCCGAAACUGAAAUCCAUGAUAUUUUAUUCCAAUGCAAUGGAUCCGACAACGCUGGACAUUUUGCAACCUUUAAAACGGUGUCAAAAAUCCUUCAGGCUGGAUUCUGGUGGCCGACCAAGUUUCGCGAUGCUCAUGCAUUCAUAGCACAAUGCGACAGAUGCCAACAAAGGGGAAAAAUCAGUAAAAGACAUGAAAUGGAACAGAAGUCUAUUCUAGAGGUAGAAGUCUUUGAUUGUUGGGGAAAAGAUUUCAUGGGUCCUUUCCCUUCUUCGUACGGGAACAAAUACAUACUAGUCGCAGUUGAUUAUGUAUCAAAAUAGGUCGAAGCAGUAGCUUCCCCAACAAAUGACGCAUCUGUAGUUGUCAAGCUUUUCAAGAGCAUUAUUUUUCCAAGAUUUGGAGUUCCUAGAAUAGUGAUAAGCGGCGGUGGCUCCCAUUUUAUUAACAAAGUUUUUGACGGAUUACUCCGGAAGAACGGAGUUCACCACAGAGUUGCUACACCCUACCAUCCGCAAACAAGUCGACAAGUAGAAGUCUCAAAUCGACAGAUCAAAGAAAUCUUAGAAAAGACCGUAGGAACUUCUAGGAAAGAUUGGUCUAGAAAACUGGACAAUGCACUUUGGGCCUACCGAACUGCAUACAAAACCCCACUAGGAACAACCCCAUUUCACCUACUCUAUGGAAAAUCAUGUCACUUACCGGUUGAGCUAGAACAUAAGGCAGCAUUGGCUAUUAUUAAAUUUCGACAUCAAACCAGCUGCCGAAAGGAGACUAAUGCAGCUUAACGAGCUGGAUGAAAUAAGACACUUAGCCUAUGAGAUUUCAAAGAUCUAUAAAGAGAAAACGAAAGCAUAUCAUGAUAAAAAAGAUCAUCUCCAGGCACUUCGAACCAAAUGAUCAAGUGAUGUUAUAUAACUCUCGGCUUACGCUGUUUCCCGGAAAACUCCGAUCUCGUUGGUCAGGUCCUUUCACUGUUGUGGAUGUCAAACAUUAUGGAGUCAUCACACUUAUAAACGAUAAAGGAGAAGAAUUUACAGUGAAUGGUCAACGAGUGAAACACUAUUGGGCUAAAGCACCAAUUAGCAGGCCUUUAAACUUAGGCCUUCUUCCUUAUAAUUAGACAGAUCAGGCCUCGAGUCGAGCUCAAGACUUAAAAUAAGCGCUGAAUGGGAGCCAACCCAUUUCUAGUUUUAAAAUAUUUAGGAUUUAGUUUAAACUAAAAUAAUAAUAAUAAUAAUAUUAAAAAAAAUCCGAGUAGACGGUUAUAAAAUCGACCGAUGAGAGCAUGUCGAUAUCGAUCGACAGUACAUCACCUGCAGCGACCAAUGGUAACUCCUUUCCAUCGAUCGACACUUAACCCGGUCAGGUAUAUCGUUCUAACUUGUUAAAUUGUGUACUUAUGAUUAAUUCUCACCAUAACUCCGCUUGGAUAUACACUGGGGACAGUGUAAUUUAAGUCCGGGGGGAUGUUUACUGAUAUCCCGUUUAUUGUGAGUCUUAUCAAAUGUUUUCAAAAGAGUUUUAUUGAGUCAAGAAUGAGAUAAUGAACUUAUUAGAUUUUUGCUUGUUAUCUAACCACUCUUUAGCACCACUCUAGACUUACUGAUUGCAGAUAGUACUAAAGAUACUAAAGUGGAUCAACCUGUCAACUAUUCUCACUUGUUGAGAUUGUUUGAAGGAACCAAAGCUGACCUCCAACACUAAACUUGACACAACUGCCUGUCUUGGGGCUUGGUAUACAUGAGAUAAGAUUCUUCAAACAAGUCUGGAAGGUAAAGUCUUGUGUAGAUUUAUCACAUUUUCUCUCUCUAUUUCGACCCUAGAUUUAUAGAUAGAGAUAUUUAUUUUCAAAAAAAAUAUAUAUAUUUAUAUAUAUAUAAAUAAAAAAAUUAUAUAUAUAUAUAUAUAAGUAUAUAUUUAAUUAUAUUUAUAUUUAAAAUAAAAAGAUAUCAUGCAUAAAUGAUUUGUAUUAUUAACUUUGAUGAAAUACAUGUUACUUUAUAUACGUGUAUUAUAUAGUUUUCUAAUAUUAACACUGUUACCUACAUAUUACAUUUCGAAUAUAAAUACUUAUAAAAAAUAAAAUAUAUAAAUUUAACAAUUUAAUAUAAUUUAAUCAUAUUUAGCACAAUAUAAUAAUCAAUAAUUUCUCUUAAAAUGAUUGAUUAUGAUGAUAUAAUUGAUAAAAUGAUCAAUAAUUUACAUAUAAUUUUUGAAAAUUAAGAUCUUGUUAAAAUAUUUAAACAGAUUUGUUAGAACUUUUAAAAUAUAUAUUUAUAUUUAAAAUGAAAAGAUAUCAAAAGAUUUUGUGAUUAACGUAGUUCAAAGAUUCUAUAUAUUAUUAGUCUUAAUAAAAUAUAUUUAAUAAAAAAAUUAAANNNNNNNNNNNNNNNNNNNNNNNNNNNNNNNNNNNNNNNNNNNNNNNNNNNNNNNNNNNNNNNNNNNNNNNNNNNNNNNNNNNNNNNNNNNNNNNNNNNNNNNNNNNNNNNNNNNNNNNNNNNNNNNNNNNNNNNNNNNNNNNNNNNNNNNNNNNNNNNNNNNNNNNNNNNNNNNNNNNNNNNNNNNNNNNNNNNNNNNNNNNNNNNNNNNNNNNNNNNNNNNNNNNNNNNNNNNNNNNNNNNNNNNNNNNNNNNNNNNNNNNNNNNNNNNNNNNNNNNNNNNNNNNNNNNNNNNNNNNNNNNNNNNNNNNNNNNNNNNNNNNNNNNNNNNNNNNNNNNNNNNNNNNNNNNNNNNNNNNNNNNNNNNNNNNNNNNNNNNNNNNNUGAUAUUUUAUUCCAAUGCAAUGGAUCCGACAACGCUGGACAUUUUGCAACCUUUAAAACGGUGUCAAAAAUCCUUCAGGCUGGAUUCUGGUGGCCGACCAAGUUUCGCGAUGCUCAUGCAUUCAUAGCACAAUGCGACAGAUGCCAACAAAGGGGAAAAAUCAGUAAAAGACAUGAAAUGGAACAGAAGUCUAUUCUAGAGGUAGAAGUCUUUGAUUGUUGGGGAAAAGAUUUCAUGGGUCCUUUCCCUUCUUCGUACGGGAACAAAUACAUACUAGUCGCAGUUGAUUAUGUAUCAAAAUAGGUCGAAGCAGUAGCUUCCCCAACAAAUGACGCAUCUGUAGUUGUCAAGCUUUUCAAGAGCAUUAUUUUUCCAAGAUUUGGAGUUCCUAGAAUAGUGAUAAGCGGCGGUGGCUCCCAUUUUAUUAACAAAGUUUUUGACGGAUUACUCCGGAAGAACGGAGUUCACCACAGAGUUGCUACACCCUACCAUCCGCAAACAAGUCGACAAGUAGAAGUCUCAAAUCGACAGAUCAAAGAAAUCUUAGAAAAGACCGUAGGAACUUCUAGGAAAGAUUGGUCUAGAAAACUGGACAAUGCACUUUGGGCCUACCGAACUGCAUACAAAACCCCACUAGGAACAACCCCAUUUCACCUACUCUAUGGAAAAUCAUGUCACUUACCGGUUGAGCUAGAACAUAAGGCAGCAUUGGCUAUUAUUAAAUUUCGACAUCAAACCAGCUGCCGAAAGGAGACUAAUGCAGCUUAACGAGCUGGAUGAAAUAAGACACUUAGCCUAUGAGAUUUCAAAGAUCUAUAAAGAGAAAACGAAAGCAUAUCAUGAUAAAAAAGAUCAUCUCCAGGCACUUCGAACCAAAUGAUCAAGUGAUGUUAUAUAACUCUCGGCUUACGCUGUUUCCCGGAAAACUCCGAUCUCGUUGGUCAGGUCCUUUCACUGUUGUGGAUGUCAAACAUUAUGGAGUCAUCACACUUAUAAACGAUAAAGGAGAAGAAUUUACAGUGAAUGGUCAACGAGUGAAACACUAUUGGGCUAAAGCACCAAUUAGCAGGCCUUUAAACUUAGGCCUUCUUCCUUAUAAUUAGACAGAUCAGGCCUCGAGUCGAGCUCAAGACUUAAAAUAAGCGCUGAAUGGGAGCCAACCCAUUUCUAGUUUUAAAAUAUUUAGGAUUUAGUUUAAACUAAAAUAAUAAUAAUAAUAAUAUUAAAAAAAAUCCGAGUAGACGGUUAUAAAAUCGACCGAUGAGAGCAUGUCGAUAUCGAUCGACAGUACAUCACCUGCAGCGACCAAUGGUAACUCCUUUCCAUCGAUCGACACUUAACCCGGUCAGGUAUAUCGUUCUAACUUGUUAAAUUGUGUACUUAUGAUUAAUUCUCACCAUAACUCCGCUUGGAUAUACACUGGGGACAGUGUAAUUUAAGUCCGGGGGGAUGUUUACUGAUAUCCCGUUUAUUGUGAGUCUUAUCAAAUGUUUUCAAAAGAGUUUUAUUGAGUCAAGAAUGAGAUAAUGAACUUAUUAGAUUUUUGCUUGUUAUCUAACCACUCUUUAGCACCACUCUAGACUUACUGAUUGCAGAUAGUACUAAAGAUACUAAAGUGGAUCAACCUGUCAACUAUUCUCACUUGUUGAGAUUGUUUGAAGGAACCAAAGCUGACCUCCAACACUAAACUUGACACAACUGCCUGUCUUGGGGCUUGGUAUACAUGAGAUAAGAUUCUUCAAACAAGUCUGGAAGGUAAAGUCUUGUGUAGAUUUAUCACAUUUUCUCUCUCUAUUUCGACCCUAGAUUUAUAGAUAGAGAUAUUUAUUUUCAAAAAAAAUAUAUAUAUUUAUAUAUAUAUAAAUAAAAAAAUUAUAUAUAUAUAUAUAUAAUAGGUGUUAGUUAGGUGGAAUCCGAACAUGACUUGGUGGCUACAACCAUUAAGGCUUGCUUCAUAAAGAUUUCAACAAAAAUAUUUCGAACGGGACUUGGUGGCGGCAAUCAUCAAGGUUUGAUUCACAUGAAUUCUUGGAUAUAUGUCAAAAAGAAGUGAACAUGACUUGGUGGCAACCUCCAUUAAGGCUUGAUUCAUGGAAGCCUGUCCAAUCUUGGUUAAUGAUCAUGCAAUAGAAGCAGACUUUGACUAAAGAGAGAAAUUAAUAGAGAGAAAAAAUAUGAACUAACUUUUACCUGCAGAUCCAGAUAUUUGUUUGAAAAUCCUUGCAUCCUGUAAUCGAUACUCCCAAGGUAAAGCCUUCACUUUUAUUUAUGUUAAGAAAUGAGGUUGGUAGAGGGGAAUGUCAGGCAGAAUUUGCUAAGUUGUUGGCUAGGUGAAUUUGGUUGCUAAGAUAGGAUAUGGUAUUGCUGAUACACUAAAAUUGGAUCUUAAUCUACUGUCAAGUUAACAGUGUAGUUGUAAUAUUUUUUGAUUCAAUUCCAGAGGACCAGUUCACACUUUAUCUUUAUGGGAUCAGAAUUAAGCUAAAACGAAGUAGGGGUUUUAAGAAGAUGUAAAUAACGUAAGGAACAAGUAACAAGAUUAGGUUGUUUUCUAAUUGAUUAAAGGCGCUAGUCUAGGGUUUCUUUUCAGGCAAGGAGUUCGCGAACCAAGCAAUUAUUCAAGUUUAGUUUAUAACAAGUCUAAACUCAGAUCACUCAAGUUAAAUCAACCCACUCUCGUGAUAUCGAUUCCUUUGCAGGUCGGUCAUGAUGCCUAAACUCUCGUUUGGAUCAUGUCGCGCCAGCAAGCUUUAGAGAUCAAGUCCGAUAUGUUCACAAUAAACCCUAAUAUCUACUCUCGCUGAUUAGGGAUGCAAGCUCAUUCAAAGCAUAUCAGGUUAUCAAUCAACGGUUAGCUAAAUCGAUUAACCCUAAUUCAUGCACUAAGUGAUCGGUUCAAUGCAAGCAAUAAGAAAAGAUAUGAGUAUAGACAAUCUUAAGAUGACUUAUCUAUGCUUCAGCUCACUAAUCCAAAACCCUAGAACCCUAAACUAACUUGGUGACUACUCAUACAUAACACAAGAACAUAGAAGCAUGAUUUCUGAAUAAUACUGCAUAUAAUAAAUAUUAGAAAUCAGAGGGUUCAUGAUAAUCUUCUCUAGGAGAUAGAUGGAGCCGUCUCCCUUACAAGUAGCAAAUCGCAAAUCACAAGCUCUCUCAGAUCUUUCUUGCGUAAAACUGAGGUAGUUCUAAAAUAGUAAAUAGGAAACUAUAUAUAUAGGAGCCACAUGCGGCUAGAAGAAGGAAAUAGGAAAUCUAGGGCAAAUCCCGAAAUAUUUGGAAACUUUUUUUUUAUCUAUGUCGCUGGAACAUGCACUCAGGCUGCUCCGGUUGGCUGUUCUGCACGAAAGACUCCAAAUCAUACUUUUUCCUCUUCUUUUCCUCUAGCUGGUCCAUUUCCCAUCCAAUACAACUCUAGACCUGUUGUGACUCAAAAGGGACUAAAAAGACUCGAUAAAACCUUGAAAACCAUUAGUAAGACAUAUGUAUAAUGUGCCAAAAACACAAUAUAUCAACUCCCCCAGACUUAGAUCCUUGUUUGUCCUCAAACAAAAUCAAGUACCAAGAACCGAGAGAAAGGUUUUAAAGUGUGGGAACUCGCUUAUUCUCAGCAACCAUACAAUAACCACGAAUCUCUGAACCAUAUAAGCAGUUUAGCUAAAACGACACAUCCUUACCAAGAACCGCACUGACUGCUGUUCAAAACGGCUCCAUACUCUGUAUCUCAUACCUGUCAAAGUUAAAACCUUCCAGACAAAACUCCUUAUAUUCAAUUAAGAGUAGUGUGAGUUUCUCAUCAUAUGCAUUAGAUAGAGUAACGGUCUAGGUAUGAAACAGGCCUUUUUGUGUUUAAGUGGAGCUAAUCAGUGUUUAGGGGUUACCAAAUUUCAUAGAGGAUGCAAGAUAUCGCGCAAAAUUGCAAGAGAGGAUAGAUCCAUUGAUGUCCACAGCCUCUACUCGUUUUUGAAUAUUCUUCUUUAGGAACAGUCGCUCUGAUCUGCAUGGUUCUCAUCUCUUUUCUUUAUACUCCUUCUAAUUUACCAGUGGCGUCUGUCUUUUCUUUUAGAAUCUUCUCCUUCUUCAUCACCUUAUUCUGAAGUACAUAAACCUAAUUUUUUUUUUUUUUGAAUAAUACAUAGGUGAUGGUGACGAAGCAGGAGGUAACAAUUGUGAUAGCGACAUGCCACUGGAGUUCUUGACCUCCCAUUCAUUCUUGUAUCUCUUCUUUUCUAAGUUAGAUCAUCGGCGGCGAAGCGGUGGCUCUGUGUGCUUCCGCCUAUUCUUCACCAAAAUAUUAUGUUGCAUCAACGAGUAAGAGACUGUGUCGAUCAUUUCCUCUCCGACCCUUUUGUAAAUAUAUGCACAUAAGAUACUGGAUAACAAAUGAAUGAGGGUGGAACAAAGGCUUUAGGGUUUUAAGGUGGGUACUAGCUAAAGAUGAGCUAGCCACUCAGGAUCAGCAAGAUGGAUAAAAAGAAUAAGAAGUCAUGAGUGUUGAUCACGUUAAACCCUAUUCUAACGCCCAUAACAAAAAGAAUUGCAGUCAAGAUUAAGUUCAAGUUAGAUGGAGUUAAGUCUUUCCAGAGUAACCUCGCAAGCUGAAAGCUUUUGGAGAACAAGAUGAUGUAAUGUCAGGGUGUUCUGGAUCCACAUGUGCAUCUGUCGCUUCUGCAAAGGUCACUGAAUAAGAUGAAUUAGAGCACGAGGGUGGUUAAUAAACAUCAUAGAAUAAGGUCUUGAUUCCCAUAAAGUUUGGACUGACUCGAUCUUAACAAACUGACUCGAUAAAGACAUCAAAGAGGACUGACUCUAAACAUAAAACCAAAGGUAAACGAUUAGUAGCAGAUAAUCGCCUCCCCCAGACUUACUUCUCACCAUCCCUGGUGAGAAAAUAAUUCGAGGAAAGGCCAAAAUAAUAAACAAGUGCAGGAAACAGAAACAUAAAUAGAAAGAGUCCAAACGGAUAUAACAAUGGAGAUAGAACUAGGAGACUGCCUAGUCAGUAUCAUCGCUCUCGGACUGGCCCGUGGAACGCCUGUUCCUUUUGCGUGGAGUAGCCCAUGGAGUCUCUUCGUAACCCCUUGCAGUUCCUGCUGGCUCCUUCCCUGGACGAUGACUGUGUGGUGUAAGCUGGUCUUGACGAGGUUCAGCUGUGCUCGGAGCUCCCAUGCAUCCUCCAGUGAUCGCCUUCAGUAUCCUCUUCAUGAGGCUGUUGUUCUUGCACUGGGAAUCUACCAUCCAAUAUCGGUAGGUGGCGUCAUCUGCGUUGUCAUCAAGGGGACCCAGGUCAUAUGCAUUGUCGCCUCCAUCUGUGCGGACAAACUCAACAUCAUCCAUAGUAUCGUCACGAUAAGAUUACUUUGGGUCGGCGCAGAGAUACUGAGCAUCAGGGACGAAACAGAUGUUGGUCACAUCACUUAGCGAGGUGAUGUUCGGUUGAGGCAGCUUGCAGUAGAGGUUUCUCCCGUCCUAACUGAGGAAGCUGUAGGUGUUCUCGUUGCGGAAAAUCUGGCAGUUGAUCAGGUAGGGGAUAUCAAUGAACGCCGCUGUCUCGUUACACUGAUAGACGCUGAGAUCAAGCUCAAAGUGGCGGAAGAGAGGAGUAAGCAAACUCCCAGAACAGUCUUUCUUCAAAGAACCUUUGACCACUCUGGCUUUCUUGUCCACAAAAAUCUGAGCAAGCACAAAACCAGGACUAGUUGUCAUCGGCGCGGUCAGAAUCCCAAUGUCGGACAAUUUGAGCUCGUCCUCAACACCGGCACAUAGCAUCUGCAACUCUCCACGUGUCACCUUUGACGUCUGGUCCUUUGUGAAGAGCAGAUUGCUCAGGACCUUAGCAGCAAUGCGCAGAAUAGGGUUACGGAUGUGAGACUGACUGGCUGAUCGGGAUUUGAAAUCCCCUGAAGCGAUGAAUUUCCAGAAUGUUUGCUCUGGAACAAACUUCCUUGGAAAGGACGUCUAAGUGUAUUCCUCGGACAUCUCGUAGACCUCUGUCAGCGCUUCAAAGGUAAUGGAGUGCUUAACACCGCUCGCAAAGAAAGUGAAGUAGGCUUCCUCAAAGAUCGGGAAACCGAGCCUUUUGAAAGUGAAUUCUGCAGUGGCUAGGACUUGCCUCACCAGAUAAGGGUACAACGGGUGAGUUCUGUGACAGAGAUCAGCUAUUCCCAACACAUGGAGAACCACAUGUAAAUCCUCAUGGAGGCCUAGGUCGUUCAAAGCCCCAGCAUCGACGAAACGGGUGGGGAGGAUGUUGGUGUUGAGCAGAGUGUUGUAGCGGCGUGAGGCUUCCUUAUCCCAUCUUGUCUCCGAGGACUUUGGGAUGUUUGGAUCUGUGAUGGAGAUCUCGGUUCCCUCUUCUCGUGGCCAUGGGUAGGUUGGGGGACCAGUGUAAUCCUCCGGUUCACCCCGAGAGUAUGGUGGCUUGAUCCUGGAUGCUGCCUUGAUUCGUUUGGGAGCCAUCUGCAAAACAAAACCAAAGGAGAAGUUCUUAGUACCGUUCGAUUGGGUUUGAAUGGAAAAAGUUGGAAGCUUUUUCGAAUUUAGUUUCUCUUUCCAAACUAUUCCAUAACCCAAUGUAGAGAUAACAAGCGAUUGACAAUGGCAAACCAGAGACAAUCACUUUAGAAGAUUAGAUACUAUUAUUUAACUCGCCAAUCAAAUAUCGAUUCAAUAGAUCCCAAAAUCGUAUUUAUAAAUCGAUGCAUGUGUAAUUUAAGAACAUUGGCCCAAAGGUGAUGACUUUCCAUCUAACCUAAUCGAUUUAACCAUUCUCAUCUCAACUUCUAUUAACCAUCCUAGCAGCAGAAGGAGAGGUCGAUUUUGAUUGUGAUAAACCCUAGAAUCGAUCUAUUCAAGCACAAAGAAGAGAAGAUAAAGAGAUUUUUAGGCCGAGAAUCACAGUGUGAUUUCGCCUCUUACCGUUCGAUUGGUGAUGGUAGAGUCCUGCAAAUUAGCCAAAUAGUUCGAAAUUCAAGCAAAUAGAAACCGAAAUACUCAAGAGAAGUUGAAGAAGUUGAAAGAGUUGAAGGUUUUUAAAGGAGAGGGGUGGUGGGGGAAGGAGGAAGCGAGUUUUGUGGAAGUGGGAAAGAGAUGGGAAACGUUCCCCUUUUAUAGGCCCACUUCGUGCCCCACUUCCUAUUUCCUAGGGUUUCUGAAACACCCCAACCCGUGAAUCUUUGAAACCACGUGAAAAUUUCUAAGUAAAAAAUCGAGUCAAAUUUUUAUCGGAUGAAUAUGAGAAAUACUGCACCUUUAUAAAUGAAACCCGAUACUAAGUAUUAAACAUCAUGUAGUUUACAAUAAAAUAUCUUUUACAAAACCUCGCAACAUUAUCCAAGUUUAAAACACCCUUGCCGAUGGUCUUUAUAGCCUCGCGCUCCGGUCUACAUAAUCAGCCUUACCUGCAUUUCUUAAGAAAAAGAAGAACGAUCUUUCCUUAAACGAAUUCUAUCAAACAUUUUCCUAUGAACACGAUGAACAAAAUUUCCAUAAACGAAUUCUAUCCAAUCAUACACACGUUCUUACUGAAUCAAACUAGACAAAAUAAUUCUUAUUGGACUGCCACGAAUAACGUACUCACCUGUAUUGAUCUUAAAAGAAUGAAGACUCUGAACCUAGUUGUGUUUUCCGGCGAAGAAUCCUGCGAUCCUCUUUGCUCGAUCCUCACCGCCCAAACUCUCUCUUUAAGACUGCGUUCUUUCUCUAGACUCCCUAAGACUUGCUUUUUAAGUUGUGACUAGAAUGAGAGCUGGAGGUUUCUUUUUAUAUUGCUCUUGGACUUGCUCACCAAGCCGGAAAUUUAUUGUUGUAUUCCUUAUUUGGCUUGGUCAAACUUUGCCAUCAAUACUCGAGAAUCUAUGCGCUUCUUUCCUUAUAUGAAUCUCGAUAUCCUGAUCUUUCUUCCGUAAAAUUCUCCCAAAGAUGACCAGUCAAACUUUUCUGAGUUAGAACCCGCAUUGUCCAGUAGUCGAACAUUCAUUAAUUAGCCAUGCGGUCUCGACCUCUCCUUACGUACGCUGCGAUCAUUUCAUGAUCGUUCUACAGUCACUCAGCCCAUUUUAAUUUCAUUCCAUAAGCUCACUAAUGAUCCGAAACUUGUCAAAGUACAACUUAUUCUUCCAACCUUCAUGGAUAUAAGUGUUUCCACACUUAGAAAAAUAGACUCCUUGAUGAAUCAAACCUCUCACGAUUUAUUUCCUUCAAAUUUAAAAAUACUCCGGGAGCGGGUAGUUACAACUCUCCCCCACUUAAAAUAAAUUCGUCCUCGGAUUUUGUCUCGACCAACUGCCACAUAAAUAGAAACUGAACAACUCCGGACUCGUUGCAUGUAUUUUGCUUCCGCGCUCACUGACCGCUUAUUGGAUCUAAUCUUUAUGUUUCCUCCAUUUAACUUUGGUCCAACACUAUUGGUCUGACUAGAACACUUUGAUACUCUAGUCACCUGUAAUAAUGCAAUCGAUAUGCUGACGAAAAAUGCUUCUUUUAGGUUGCAUCAUGGAUCCCAAAAUGCAGGGCUGACACAUACUCCCUGGCGGAUAUGGUCGCUUGACAAUCAACUUGAUCACCUGAUUUCUCACUCAAAACACUCACAUUAUCUGGAUCACCCUUGAUUCACAAAAUUUUCAGUGUUGACUGCAAUCCUUUUGUUCCACAACCGUCAAGACAAAUAUGCGAUAUCAUAUUCAUAAAAUAACUAAUUCCAGUCUUGGAUGCAUCCAUGCAAAAGUAUUCCCAACUAGACUUCACUAACAUAUACAUACCCAAAUUUUCUCUUCCUGAACCACAAACCUUUCUUUGUCGUAUGUCAUCCACCAUAUUUCACAUAAUUUGGCGUCAACCCAUUGAAUGGUUGAACCAACUUGCAAACCAUCGAAUGGUUGAACCAACUUGCAUAUCAUUUUACUAACGACGAUUCUUACCCACUCAUCCAACCAUGCAUGUGAUCGUAUUGAAAUCUUCAUCCUUGGCUAAUUGCAAUGGUCGUAACAUUUUCUUGGUCCGCCCAAUGCUUUCCUCAGGCACUGCACUCACGAACCCAAUUUACGUUCUUCUGAUAACUUGACUCGCUUAACUUCCUUGAAAAUCCUGAUUCCUUCCCAUUCUACCCACAUUGAAAUUUAACCAAUACUUCUCUGCUCAAAUUCUGCUUCUGUGAUGGUCCUAAGAAUAAUUUGUACUUGUUCUCGACCAUCUGCUCCGUUCUUCUGUUGAUACUUUUGAAAUAUCAAAUUGCUUCUUCAUUUUUCUGAGCUACCAUCUUUCCUUCUUUCCGUUACGCUACCCUAAUAUCUGUUUAAUCAACUUAACUCGACAUUGAUCCAACGCGUCCAUUCUAAGAGCUCCUUUGAACCAUUUAUCUAGUAACACGAUCAAACCAUUAAAGUUAUCUGCACUCUCCACCAUCACUGAAACAUCUUGAUAAAUAUCAUGCGACUUGAAAAUCUCCAUGUAUGCUGCCUGAACAAAUCUGAUCUUUUCCCCGAAUCCAUUCUAAUGCUACGGACAACUUCCUGCCACACAAGAAAUGCGACUUCUAUAGUCGAACCAAGUUUGGCUUUCGCCACCACACCACCAACAAGUGGAUCGACUACGUCCUUGCAUCCAGCUUGUGUAUUCAAACUAAACCGGAUUACCAUCUUCUAUAGUCAAACAAAGUUUGGCUUUCGCCACCACACCACUAACAAGUGGAUCGACUACGUCCUUGCGUCCAGCUUGUGUAUUCAGACUAAACCGAAUUACCAUCGACUCCAUUUGCUUACUAUCCGUCGAUUCCUCUUGAUCUAUCGCUCAGUUCCCACCAUUGUUCCGGUCCACCAUAAAUCUGACCGAUCCUUCCUCCGGAUCGUACAGACGGUACCGAAGUACAGUUCCAGUCGCACUCCAUCGUUGUUCCUCUGUCGUACUGCUGAUACCAGUCUCGUCUAAGACCACAAGCCGUCAAACAAGACUCAUGAUCCCUCAUCAGACCGUCAGUAUGCAUCAGCAUCGUCAAGUAUACCUUGCGAUCCAACAGUACAUGGUUCCACCAUGCGCAGAUUAAGCCGGUACAUCCUUAUCCAUGGUUCGCGCUUGUUUCAACUGCCAUGGAUAGAGACGAAUCGGUUCUUCCUAUUAACCGCUCGCUUCGUACCUUCGAACCAGAACCCGACACAUCUCAGACGAUCAGUAAGACCACCGCUGAGCUUUAGGGUAGUCGGAGAAAGGAUCCGAUCAGUCCUCCUUACCGAUCUCAGUCCCUCUCCAUUCGUUUCUCCCUUUCUCUCUUGGUUUUUCUCGGUUUUGUUUCUAUUUACGCCUCCCCCUUUCUGAUCCACGGAAUCCCAUUAAAAAGGGAAGUUGGCGAUUUUUCCUUUCCUGUAACCGCUCCCGCGCCCAAUCCCAAAUCAAUAACUGUCCUUGAUAGUUUUUAUUAACUCCCCGAACAGUUUCUUUCUCGAUCGGACGGUUAGGUAACCGUUCCAUAACUGCUUGGCAGUUCCAGACAAUAAACCGUCCAGUCAGUUAAGCAGUAACCUCCCGGAACCGUCCUGUAACUUCUUCGGUAAUUGCUUCGGUAAUUCCUUAGUAACCGCUUGGUAACCAUCAGGUAACUGUUCCCGACGUUUUACUUAGCUUAUCAGUACACAUUCAGCUCGGUAUCCAAUCUCACCAUAAAGUAUACCAGUCAGUCCGUAUAUAAACUAACUUUUCUCAAAAAAACAAGUCCGACUACUUUGUCUGAAUCCGACCAGCUCAGUCCGACAAGCCCAACUGCUAUGUCUGGACCCACAGUAUUGUCUUAAUCCGACCAGUACUAUCCAGACGACAUGUCAUACGUGUCAGGUUCGACUGAUCAGUCAAACUAACACUCAGCCUUGGACUGAUCCAGCUCUGACUGCGGGAUGAGGAUGCUACAAGCCCAGUCAAUAACCAUCAAUCCAUGCCGACUAUUGCUUCGUACAUUCUAUCAUCAUAUCUAAUCAUUCCCUAACGUUGACAUAUCUUGCUCCAUCACGCACGACUUUAAGCAUAUUACCUUUGUCGACCGAACCAACCUCAUACCCUCCUUGUCUCCCCUUUGAAAAGUUCGACAGUCGACACUUUAUAGCCUUCAUAAGACUUAAGUUAGUUUUCACUAACUUCCUGCAACUAUCUAACAUAAUUUUGCUUAGCCAUUUACUAAGCAGUCCAAUCAUAAACACAUACCAAGAAAUACCUUAGGCAAAUCAUACCACACAUCCUUCGCGCGAGACAUAGACCAUCGGUUCCUUUCCACCCUUACCCACAAAUCUCUUUUUCGAAAAACAGCCAGCCAGGACAGAACUGGCUGGCUAACCCCGCUCUGAUACCAAAUUGAAACACCCCAACCCGUGAAUCUUUGAAAACACGUGAAAAUUUCUAAGUAAAAGAUCGAGUCAAAUUUUUAUCGGAUGAAUAUGAGAAAUACUGUAACUUUAUAAAUGAAACCCGAUCCUUAGUAUUAAAAAUCAUGUAGUUUACAAUAAAAUAUUUUUUACAAAACCUUGCAACAUUAUCCACGUUUUAAACACCCUUGCCGAUGGUCUUUAUAGCCUCGCGCUCCGGUCUACAUAAUCAAUCUUACUUGUAUCGCAAAAGGAGGCAUGAGCAUACAAAAGUACUCAGUGAGGACACUCAAUACCGCCCACUACAGCCCAAUAAUCAAACACUCAAUCAAUACUAACACCCUAGCAUCCAGUUCUAUCAUUCCUUUACUUAACUAGUUCCAUUACUUUAACAUUUCUUAACCUUUCGACCCGAAGGUCCAUAAUCCUGCGGCCAAAGCCAACCUGUGGCCGAAGCCAACCUGCGGCUGAAGCCAAACCUGCGGCCGAAGCCAAACCUGCGGCCGAAGCCAAACAUGCGGCUGAACCCAAACCUGCGGUCGUAGCCAAACCUGCAGCCGAAGCCAAACUUGCGGCCGUAGCCAAACCUGCGGCCGUAGCCAACCUGUGACCCGUCGGUCCAUUACAUUUCCUUAACCUUUUUCCUUAACCUUUGUCCUUAACCUUUUCCUUAUAUUACAUUUCAAUUAUUCUUUCCUUAAACGCAUUAUAAUUUCCUGACCUAGGUUCUCAAGAUCAAACGUUCAUUUCUCACAUAUACAUCCUAACAUAACUCGAUAAUCCAUAGCAUGCAUUUCUCAAGAACACGAUGAACGAACUUUCCUUAAUCAAUUCCUAUCAUACAUUUCUUAAGAAAACGAAGAACGAUCUUUCCUUAAACGAAUUCUAUCAAACAUUUUCCUAUGAACACGAUGAACAAACUUUCCAUAAAUGAAUUCAAUCCAAUCAUACACACGUUCUUACUGAAUAAAACUAGACAAAAUAAUUCUUAUUGGACUGCCACGAAUCACGUCCUCACCUGUAUUGAUCUUAAAAGAUCGAAGACUCUGAACCUAGUUGUGUUUUCCGGCGAAGAAUCCUGCGAUCCUCCUUGCUCGAUCCUCACCGCCCCAACUCUCUCUUUAAGACUGCGUUCUUUUUCUAGACUCCCUAAGACUUGCUUUUUGAGUUGUGACUAGAAUGAGAGCUGGAGGUCUCUUUUAAUAUUGCUCUUGGACUUGCUCAUCAAUACUCGAGAAUCUAUGCGCUUCUUUCCUUAUAUGAAUCUCGAUGUCCCGAUCUUUCUUCCGUAAAACUCGGGCUUUUUGAUUUUUAUCCUGCAAAAAGUAAAAAGAAACACAAAAACGAAAUCUAGAAGAAAUAUUUACACUCACCAGUGGGUUGCCUCCCACCAAGCGCUUGGUUUAAGUCACUAGCUUGACUUGGUUGGCCUAUUAGGCUAAGGGAGGAUCGCUUAGGGGAAUUUUUUCACCCUCUGUGAUUGUUGUCUCGGCAAGGUAUGGCUUUAUGCGUUGGCAAUUGACAACAAAUUCUUCCCCUUUCGUGUUCAGCAACACAACAGCCUCCGUGGGGGCAGACAUCUUUAAUGGAGAAUGGUCCGGACCACCUACAUCGCAGCUUUCCAGGGAACAAUCGUAGCCUUGAGUUGAACAAGAGCACCUGAACCUUAGGUUGAAAGUUGCGGUUGAUGAUCCUCUUGCCAUGGUAAGCCUUAGUUCGCUCCUUCUAGAUUUUAGAGCUUUCAUAGGCGAGAUGCCUAAUUUCCUCCAGUUCGUGAAUCUGCAUGGAUCGUCUCUCUGCUGCUGGUUUGAUGUCAAAGUUGAGUAGUUUCACAGCCCAAUCCGCCUUAUACUCCAACUUAACCGGUAGGUGACAAGCUUUACCGUACACCAGAUUGUAAGGAGUAUCUCUUCUUUUCUAAGUUAGAUCAUCGGCGGCGAAGCGGUGGCUCUGUGUGCUUCCGCCUAUUCUUCACCAAAAUAUUAUGUUGCAUCAACGAGUAAGAGACUGUGUCGAUCAUUUCCUCUCCGACCCUUUUGUAAAUAUAUGCACAUAAGAUACUGGAUAACAAAUGAAUGAGGGUGGAACAAAGGCUUUAGGGUUUUAAGGUGGGUACUAGCUAAAGAUGAUUUUCUGCAGCAUGCUCUUGAUCUCUCUGUUUGAAACUUGUACUUGCCCACUAGUUUGAGGGUGAUAUGGCGUGGCUACCUUGUGUUGCACGCUGUUCUUCUUCAAUAGACCUGCAAAGAUCUUGUUGAUGAAAUGACUACCCCCAUCGCUGAUGACCACGCGUGGUACCCCAAAUAUUGGGAAGAUUAUGGUUUUGAACAUCUUUGUGACCACCCUUGCGUCGUUUGUGAGAUUGGCAAUCGCUUCCACCCACUUAGAAACGUAGUCAACUGCUACCAAUCUGUCGCUUCUGCAAAGGUCACUGAAUAAGAUGAAUUAGAGCACGAGGGUGGUUAAUAAACAUCAUAGAAUAAGGUCUUGAUUCCCAUAAAGUUUGGACUGACUCGAUCUUAACAAACUGACUCGAUAAAGACCAACCUCCAAGAUGAAAUUCUGAGGCAUCUUAUUCCGUUUACUGAUAUUCCCUUGUCGCUGGCAUGAGUUGCAUCUAGAGAUGUAGGAAUGGGCGUCUUGAAACAUUGUUGGCCACCAAAAACCGGUUUGAAGGAUCUUAGACACGGUUUUAAAGGUCGCAAAGUGCCCUGCAUAAGAGGAACCAUGACAGUGAUAGAUGAUUCCUAGAAUCAAAGAUUCAGUUACACAUCGUCGGAAUACUCCAUCCUUGCAGCUACGGUACUGAUAGGGUUCAUCCCAAUAGUAAUGUCUUGCUCCUCUCAGAAAUUUCCGUUUAUCAUUGCCAGUGAAUUUGACAGGUUCUUUCUCAGCAGCCAGAUAGUUGGCGAUCUCAGCUGUGGUGUAAGCUGGUCUUGACGAGGUUCAGCUGUGCUCGGAGCUCCCAUGCAUCCUCCAGUGAUCGCCUUCAGUAUCCUCUUCAUGAGGCUGACGAGUAGACAUGCUAGACUGGAAGGCUGUCAUCAAGUGUUGUAUUUUCAUCUAUUUUCAUUCUGGAGAGGUGAUCUGCAAUGCCAUUCUUAAUGCCCUUUUUAUCUUUGAUUUCAAGGUCAAAUUCCUGGAGUAAUAAGAUCCAUCGGAGUAGCCUUGGUUUGUGCAACGCUCCCGCGACAUACGGUGACCGGUUACUGUCCUAGUGGGUAUCAAUUCAUUCUUUUCAUUAGCAACCACAGUGAUCCCCCCCCUUUCUGAGGAACUACAUGAACAAGACUAACUCACUUACUAUCAGAAAUAACAUAAAUUACACCAGCUUCUAGAAGUUUCAUUAUCUCUUUCUUAACAGCAUCAUUUAGAUUUGGGUUUAACCGCCUCUGAUGUUCUACAGAAGUCAUCGAUUCAUCUUCUAGGUGUAUUCUAUGCAUGCAUAAAUCAGGUGAAAUACCAGAAAUAUCAGCUAACGAAUAUCCUAUUGCCUUGCGGUAUUUUCUCAAUUCACACAAUAGUUUAGCAGUUUCCACAUUAUUAAGCUCAGAGUUCACGAUAACAGGGUAUGUUGAAUUAGGUCUACGAAACGCAUACCUGAGUCCCGCUGGAAGGGACUUUAAUUCGAUCUUUGGAGCCUUGAGUUCGCUCCACGAAUCAUCGAGCUGGCUGGUUGGUUUGGUCGGCUUUUUAAGAGCAGCUGCUCCUCCUGGUGAAAUCUGAUUGCUCGUUUCCCCCAGACUUAGAAAAGCGACCGGCUUCUCGAUGAUUUCACACGAGUCUAGCAUCUUUUCGUAUCCGUCGGCAUCAACGUUGCACGUGUUCUGCUCAGACUCUACUCGUAUCAGAGCUACUUCCAAAGGAUCAUCUGCGAGGAUUUCUUCGAUCAUCCCUUGUUGAGGGGUCAAGGCAGAAUUCUCGUCGCUAAUCGUGAAGUUUUGACCAUCUAGCAUAGGUCGUUUGAGAAGCUCAUCCAUCUCGACCUUCAUCACAAUAUCUCCCAGAUGGAGAUCAAUCGUCCCGUUGCGGACGUCAAUUAUUGCACCAGCUGUGCACAGGAAAGAACGCCCUAGGAUGAGAGGGUCUUUUGGUUCAUCUUCGAGCUCUAGAAGCACGAAGUCUGCUUGAACAGUGCUGUCACCAAUUUGAACUUGUAGAUCUUCAAGAACACCUACUGGCAACUUAACUGAUCUAUCUGCGAACACCAAAGAAAUCCUGGCUGGCUUGAAGUUGGUUUGUUCCAUGCGUUUUGCAACCGAGUAGGGCAUGAGAUUCACACUGGAACCCAAAUCACAUAAGGAACAAGCGAAGACUGUCUUUCCAAUCUGAACAGAUAGGACAAAUUUUCCAGGAUCUUCUAAUUUCCUGAUUGUUCUGUUUUGAAGGACUGCGCUGCAUUCCUUCGAGACCAUCAUGAUGUCGCUGUCUGCAGAAGUUUUCCCGGAGAUCAGUCCUUUCACAACACUGCGCAUUGAAGGAAUCAUCUGAAUAGCAUCCAUGAGAGAGAACUUAACGUUCAACUCUUCAAGCAUCUUUUUGCACUUCAUCUCUUCGUAAUGCUUGCGUGAUUUCUUAGCAGGGACUGGAUAGGGAAAUUUUGGAAUGUAGACGCGUGUUGGAACAGGUUGAUCUUGCGUCGUGGGGGCUACUGGUUCUGCGGUUGUUGGUUGUUCCGGUUCAUGAUCGUCAUAGUGGACAUCCUCAAGCGAAUGUGGUUCUCCCUCUUUCUAUUUUCCCUUCUCUUGAGCAGUGAGCUUCGUGGGGACAUGAUCUGAUAGAUGUCUUCCACUUCUCAGCUCGACUGCGUUAUAGUCCUUGGGAUUCUUGUAUGUUUUCCCUGGGAGUGUUCCCUGUUGCCUUUUUAUUGUUUCAGCAGUUUGAGCAAUCUGAACGUCCAUUUGCCUUAUGUGGCUUGCUACAGCAUCGUAUUUGGAAUUCAAUUUCGUGAACAUGUUGUCCAUCCGAGUGUUUAUCUCGGUUGUAACCUGGUUCAGUGCUUUUCCUUGAAUUUGUUGACCUUGCAGAAGUUGUUGCAUCAUUCCCUUAAGCACAUAUGGCGGACUGCUCGCGGUUGCAGGAGCAGCAUGUGGAUUAUUCUGCCGGUUCUGAAAUUGAUUCUGAGCCUGGCUGAGGAUGAACAUCUUCCCAUUCUGAUUCUGAUUCUGGAAGUAUGGCUUCUGAUAUCCAGUGUUUUGGAACUGAUUUCCCUGAGAUCUGUCGUUGGGGUUAUCUCGAUUGGUCUUGUACGAGAAAAGAUGCGGGUUGUUCCUCACAUUAGGAUUUGGAUGGUAAUUUUUGAACUGCCAACCCUGCCCGUUAACGUAACUGACCUCUUGCUGAUCUUCUUCUGAUGUCUCAAUUUCUGCUGCAGCAUCUGUAGUACCUGGUUCCAGAUUGGUUUCUUACAUGACAUAGAUCUGAUUCUAAUUGUUCUUGAGCAGCAAAUUGACUUUAGCGGCGAGGUCAUCAAUCUUCCUAGUGUCCAUGCUGUUCACCUUUUUGGAACAGUCAAUUUCCUCGUUUUUUUUGGACUAACUAGCUGCCAUGUUCUCUAUUAGCGCGUGAGCUCCUUCUAUGGUUUGAGUCAUGAAAUCUCCAUUGCUCGCUGCAUUCCGAGCAUUGCGGAACUCCCAUUCCACUCCAUCGUAGAAGAUUCCUAGAACAUGGUCAUCAUCGAACCCGUGAUGAGGACACUCUCUGAGGGUAUCAUUGAACUGUUCCCAAGCUUCGUUGAAAGGUUCACUAGCGAGUUGCUUGAAGGAGGAAAUUUUGUUUCGUAGGGCAGCUGUUUUGGCUUUCGUAUAGAAGUGUCCCAAGAAAUCCGCUCUAACAUGUUCCCAAGAAGUUAGGGAACCUGUAGGUAAUGACUUAAGCCAUCGUGAAGCCUUGUCCGCUAGGGAGAAUGGUAACAGCAUGCAUUUGAUGUAGUCGGGUGGGACGCCGUUUGCACGAGUGAAAUUACAUAUCUCUUCAAAAGCUUCAAUGUGUUCCAUCGGUAUCUCAGCUGACAGUCCAUGAAACAUCUUUCUCUGGACAAGAUUGAUCAUGCCGGGUUUUAUCUCGAAAUCUUCCCUUUGACAUGGUGGUGGAGCGAUAGCAGAUCGCAUAGCAGGGAUGUUAAGCGGUAGGUUUCUCUCACCAAUUGGGACAGGUGGUUCCCGUUGUGCAGCCAGUUGCUGCGCUGGGAUUGUUUGCUGUAACUCUUGCAUCUGUUGCAUCUGCUGUUGCAUAUGUUGCAUAGACGUGGCCAUUUGUUCUGGAGUGCCAAAGUCGACCAUUGUUGUAGUGAUUGAUUUUUGUUGACGGUUGGUUCUUUCUAAGCUUGCGAGUUCCUGGUUUGUAAGCGAAAUUAAAUCCCCUUGUGUAUUGCUCCGAGUAUGUCUACUGGGCAUGCAUCUGGUUAUUUAACUGCAAAAAAAAGAUUUAAAAAAAGUUAGAAGUUUUAGACUAAAUAAAUAACCGAAAAAUAAAGAUAAAAAGCUGGUCCCCGGCAACGGCGCCAAAACUUGAUACACUAAAAUUGGAUCUUAAUCUACUGGCAAGUUAACAGUGUAGUUGUAAUAUUUUUAGAUUCAAUUCCAGAGGACCAGUUCACACUUUAUCUUUAUGGAAUCAAAAUUAAGCUAAAACGAAGUAGGCGUUUUAAGAAGAUGUAAAUAACGUAAGGAACAAGUAGCAAGAUUAUGUUGUUUUCGAAUUGAUUAAAGGCGCUAGUCUAGGGUUUCUUUUCAGGCAAGGAGUUCGCGAACCAAGCAAUUAUUCAAGUUCUGUUUGUAACAAGUCUAAACUCGGAUCACUAAAGUUAAAUCAACCCACUCUCGUGAUAUCGAUUCCUUUGCAGGUCGGUCUUGAUGCCUAAACUCUCGUUUGGAUCAAGACACGCCAGCAAGCUUUAGAGAUCAAGUCUGAUAUGUUCACAAUACACCCUAAUAUCUACUCUCGCUGAUUAGGGAUGCAAGCUCAUUCAAAUCAUAUCAGGUUAUCAAUCAACGGUUAGCUAAAUCGAUUAACCCUAAUUCAUGCACUAAGUGAUCAGUUCAAUGCAAGCAAUAAAAACAGAUAUGAAUGUAGACAAUCUCAAGAUGACUUAUCUAUGCUUCAGCUCACGAAUCCAAAACCCUAGAACCCUAAACUAACUUGGUGACUACUCAGACAUAACACAAGAACAGAGAAGCAUGAUUUCUGAAUAAUACUGCAUAUAAUAAAUAUUAGAAAUGAGAGGGUUCAGGAUAAUCUUCUUUAGGAGAUAGAUGGAGCCGUCUCCCUUACAAGUAGCAAAUCGCAAAUCACAAGCUCUCUCAGAUCUUUCUUGCGUAAAACUGAGGUAUGUCUAAAAUAAUAAAUAGGAAACUAUAUAUAUAGGAGCCACAUGCGGCUAGAAGAAGGAAAUAGGAAAUCUAGGGCAAAUCCCGAAAUAUUUGGAAACUUUUUUUUUAUCUCUGUCGGUGGAACAGGCACUCAGGCUGCUCUGGUUGGUUGUUUUGCACGAAAGACUCCAAAUCAUACCUUUUUCUCUUCUUUCCCUCUAGCUGGUCCAUUUCCCAUCCAAUACAACUCUAGACCUGUUGUGACUCAAAAGAGACUAAAAAGACUCGAUAAAACCUUGAAAACUUUUAGUAAGACAUUCGUAUAAUGUGCUAAAAACACAAUAUAUCAAUUGCAAUAUUGUAGAGGUGAUGAUUCUAAGUUUUAAAUCAUGUGAGUCUCUGCUAUUUUCAAACCUCUUUCAGAGAGGCGGCCCUUAUGUUUUGCUUGAGGACAAGCAAAAGGGUAAGUCUGGGGGGAGUUGAUAGACCAUGGAUUUUACCCACUUUCAGCCAUGGUUUAUAAGUGUUUUAAUAUAUAUUAUAGAGUCUAUUUAGGAUAUUUACAGGUUCAGGUACGUUGUGGAGAAAUAUGGUGAUUUUGGAGCCUUUUGAGGUGCAGAACUGCACAGGCGCAUCAGAUAUUUAGCAAUGGAUGGAGACCUUUCCACCGUUAGAUUGAGCUCAUCGUUUGAUGCAAGAUAGAGAUUUGAGUUAGCUUUCCAAUGCCACCGGUUUGAGGUCAAUCAGCAUCCUAUAGCAGAAGUUAUGCCCGUUUUACUGAAGAGUGGUCAGUAUGCCUCGCGAGAGGAAGCUGUCGAGGAGAUGAAGGAUUGUCGAUCGAUGAAACAUCAUUGGUAUCGGUCGACAGUGAUUCCAGAAAACAGGCCAAGCCUGUUUCGUGCCCAAUUUAGGCCCAGAAGUCACCACAUAUUACCAAUAUACCCUGGACGACCUGAAACCCUAUUUUACUGUUUCUAAGCCAUUGUUAACGGCUAUGCUUCAUACUAUUCUAGAGAGAGCUUAGGAUUUGAGAGAGAGAGAGAGAUAUGUACACCUUGAGAGAGGGAAGAUCUUGAACUCCCUUUGUUUCUUACUAUAUUAUGUUUUUUAUUUAUCUAUUGAGUAUUAUUCAGACCAUCAUAACUAUGUGCUUUACGAAUAUGUCUGAGUAGUUUUUGCUGUUAGGUUUAGGUUUCUCAAUAGGUUGAUACAUGUAAUACUGAAUUAAACUGUUUCUAGGGUGUUUAAAAACAUAAUUCCUCAACUAGUUGUUCUUAAAGCUAAGUUUAGGAUUGAUCACCCUUUAAACUUGAUCUUAGGAUUAGUUGGGAUCAAGCCAUUGUUUGACCCAAUACCUGAAAAUAAACUAGUAUGAUCUAACUGACUAGAUACAGACGAGAGUUGAUCUUAGUUUCAAAUCAAAUCAAUUGAGCAAUUAUUUUGCUCACUAAUUCAUUUACUGCUUUAAAACCACAACAAGAAAACAGCAGCAUACUGAGGGAAAAAAUGAGGGAAAAAAUCUUCGGUAUGUCGUCGGAAUAACGCUAUUCCGACGACAUACCGACGACAAAAGUCCUCGGAAAUAACUCCUCGGAAAUUCAUUUUUCCUCGGAAAUCCCUCGGAAAUUUCCGACGGAAUUCCGAGGAACUGAAUUUCCGAGGAAACUCCGAGGACCACUAGAUCGUCGGAAAGUUCCUCGGAGGGAGGACUUCCUCGGUAUAUUCCGAGGAGAUUUUCGAUGGUCCAAUCUUCGGAAGUUCCGACGAAAUAUUCCUCGGAAUUUGCAUCGGGAAUUUCCGAGGAACGUGGCCCUCGGAAAUUUCCUAGGAACGUAGCCCCUCGAAAAAUUCCGAGGAACAUUCCCUCGGAUUUUUUUUUAAAUUCCGACGACUUAUUCCGAGGAAAAGGUCGUCGGAAAUUUCCGAGGAAGGUUUUCCUCGGAAUUUCGAAAAAAUUAAUUUUUUUAAAAAAAAUUAUUUUUUAAGAAAAUUAAAAUUUGUGAAAUUUAAAUUCGAAAAUAUAAAAUUAAAAUUAAAACUGAAAACAUAUUAGAUAAUUCAAAGUUCUACAAAUAAAAAUAAAACAUUCCGAGUUUUUGGUUAAAAAAAAAAAACUACGGGUCUUGAAUGUUCGGGAACAGCUCGUUCGGGUAUAUCCUCUUCAUCAUCUUCAUCUUCUGCUCGUUCAGCCUCUUCUGUGUCUCAUAGCCCGGCUGUUGAGCUGCCAUCUGGGUCUCCAACGCAUAUAUCCGAUCAUUCUUGUCCUUCAGCUGAGCCGUAAGAACUCCUGGAUCAACAUAUGGCGGUGGUGCAGAAGAAGGAGCAGCCGACCGGGAGCGACGACCCAAACCGACCAAACGUCCCUUCUUCUUUGGAACCGACUGAAAUAUAAAUAGCCAAAUUUAAAUAAUAUAAAUUGAUGAUAAAAUAAAAAUCAAGAAAUAAAUAAAUUGAACUUUAAAAAAAAGAACUUACCGAGUCAACGAUUUCGUUGAUUCGAAACCGGGACAAGUUGGUCGAAGCCGUCGAAGCGUCAUCCUCGGUUUGAAGCUGAGACACUUCGUCUACCACCUGAGUUUGGACCAGGUCGACCACGUCCCUCACAAGACCGUCAUCAAUCUGGCCGGUCUUCUUGUUGGUAUACGCCCUCCUCAUUAGGGCGAGAUCAUCAACCGGCUCGCCAUCAUUUUCUUCCGCCUUGAAAAAAANNNNNNNNNNNNNNNNNNNNNNNNNNNNNNNNNNNNNNNNNNNNNNNNNNNNNNNNNNNNNNNNNNNNNNNNNNNNNNNNNNNNNNNNNNNNNNNNNNNNNNNNNNNNNNNNNNNNNNNNNNNNNNNNNNNNNNNNNNNNNNNNNNNNNNNNNNNNNNNNNNNNNNNNNNNNNNNNNNNNNNNNNNNNNNNNNNNNNNNNNNNNNNNNNNNNNNNNNNNNNNNNNNNNNNNNNNNNNNNNNNNNNNNNNNNNNNNNNNNNNNNNNNNNNNNNNNNNNNNNNNNNNNNNNNNNNNNNNNNNNNNNNNNNNNNNNNNNNNNNNNNNNNNNNNNNNNNNNNNNNNNNNNNNNNNNNNNNNNNNNNNNNNNNNNNNNNNNNNNNNNNNNNNNNNNNNNNNNNNNNNNNNNNNNNNNNNNNNNNNNNNNNNNNNNNNNNNNNNNNNNNNNNNNNNNNNNNNNNNNNNNNNNNNNNNNNNNNNNNNNNNNNNNNNNNNNNNNNNNNNNNNNNNNNNNNNNNNNNNNNNNNNNNNNNNNNNNNNNNNNNNNNNNNNNNNNNNNNNNNNNNNNNNNNNNNNNNNNNNNNNNNNNNNNNNNNNNNNNNNNNNNNNNNNNNNNNNNNNNNNNNNNNNNNNNNNNNNNNNNNNNAAGUAUUCCCUUUACCGUUCAUUAAAGUGUAUAAGUGUUUCUCUUAUGUUGUGGGGAUUUCGUUCAUACAAUCGGAAAAAUGUUUAUUAUACGGUAAGAAACAAAUUUUUGACUACAUAAUAAGUCUAAGACACUUAAUAAGGGUUAUAUAAGUGUUAUUCAAACCGAAAAACGUUGUUUUCGAUUUAAAACCCCUAUUUCUUCAAAAUUUUCUCGGAAUAUUCCGAGGGAAUUCCGAGGAAACCCUUAUCUUCCUCGGAAUUCCGUCAGAAUAUUCCGAGAGAAUACUGAGGAACUAGUGUUUGGGGUUUCAAAACAUCAAUUUUUUUGUCGUAUUUCAUUUCUUAUACAAUUGUAAUGCAUACCAUUGAGGAUUCUUUGUAUAGAUGAGCAUAAACCAUGAAAUAACAAAUUUCAAAACGAAUUGUAAGUAUUCCCUUUAUCGUUCAUUAAAGUUUAUAAGUGUUUCUCUUAUGUUGUGGGGAUUUCGUUCAUACAAUCGGAAAAGUGUUUAUUAUAGUGUAAGAAACAAAUUUUUGACUACAUAAUAAGUCUAAGACACUUAAUAAGGGUUAUAUAAGUGUUAUUCAAACCGAAAAACAUUGUUUUCGAUUUGAAACCCCUAUUUCCUCGAAAUUUCCUCGGAAUAUUCCGAGGGAACUCCGAGGAAACCCUUAUCUUCCUCGGAAUUCCGUCGGAAUAUUCCGAGGAAAUACCGAGGCACUAGUGUUUGAGGUUUCAAAACAUCAAUUUUUUUUGCCGUAUUUCAUUUCUUAUACAAUUGUAAUGCAUACCAUUGAGGAUUCUUCGUAUAGAUGAGCAUAAACCAUGAAAUAACAAAUUUCAAAACGAAUUGAAAGUAUUCCCUUUACCGUUCAUUAAAAGGUAUAAGUGUUUCUCUUAUGUUGUGGGAUUUCGUUCAUACAAUCGGAAAAGUGUUAAUUAUACGGUAAGGAACAAAUUUUUGACUUCAUAAUGAACGUAAGACACUUAAUAAGGGUUAUAUAGGUGUUAUUCAAACCGCAAAACGUUGUUUUCGGUUUAAAAACCCUAUUUCCUCGGAAUUUCCUCGGAUUAUUCCNNNNNNNNNNNNNNNNNNNNNNNNNNNNNNNNNNNNNNNNNNNNNNNNNNNNNNNNNNNNNNNNNNNNNNNNNNNNNNNNNNNNNNNNNNNNNNNNNNNNNNNNNNNNNNNNNNNNNNNNNNNNNNNNNNNNNNNNNNNNNNNNNNNNNNNNNNNNNNNNNNNNNNNNNNNNNNNNNNNNNNNNNNNNNNNNNNNNNNNNNNNNNNNNNNNNNNNNNNNNNNNNNNNNNNNGGAAUUUCCUCGGAAUUUUUAAAAUCCCCCAACGGCUCUUUAACGGCUAUAAUAUAUCCUCGGAAUUCAUCGGUUUUUUCCGAGGAAUACAUUUUUCCUCGGUAUUCCAUAAGAAUAUUCCGACGGAUUAGUAUUUCCUCGGAAUUCCGUCGGUAUAUUCCGAGGAAACUAAAUUUUGUGUUUCCUCGUAAUUUCCUCGGAAAUUCCUCGGGAUAUUCCGAGGAUUUCAUUUUCCGUCGGAAUGUCCGUCAGAAUACCGUUGUUUUCUUGUAGUGAACCUAUAAAUCAUUUAAUCUAGUCAUAAUUCGAAUACUAUAAAUCUAUUGUGUAAUCCUAGAGUCUUUGUGGAUUCGAUCCCUAAGUACUACAUCUGAACCUUUUAUUUGAGAGAGUAAUUCACUCCUUAGUGUAAUUUGAGUGAUAUCAAAAUACCAUAAAAUAGAUCAUUUACUCAAAAUAUACAAUAUUUUUCUGUACAAAGUGGAGCAUAUAUAUAUUUUCUUUGUAAAUUCUCACCCACAAUUUACUGUUGCGUUCCAGAUUUUUUUUAAUUAUUAUUUUCCUGGAAAACUACUAUGCUUCGUUGUAAAUGUAAAUGACCAAAUUCGGAUAAGAAAAGCGGAUCAAGCACUGCAGAUUAAACGGAUCAAGCGUUGGAGAUCUAACGGAUAAAGCGGAAAGAGAAGAAUAAGAGUGUAUCAAACGGAUCUAGCAGUACAAAAGUUGAUCAAGCGGAUCUAGUACUCCAAAACAUAUUUUCAAAUGGUGAAAGUGGAUGAAAAUGGUCUAAAAUAUUAUACAAAAUUAAAAUUAUUUUUUUUAAUAAUUUAUGAUUUCAAUUAAUACAAAUAUUCAAAAUAUAAUAGAAAAAUAAUUUUUAUAUAUAGUUAUUUUAAAUUUUAAAUUAAAUAUAUAUAUAUUUCUUGGAUGAAUUAAAAUAAUUAUAAUUUGGGUAAUUUUUAACCAUUAUGUAUAAGAAAUGUUUUAUGUGAUUUGUUUUAUUAAUUUAAAUAAUGAUAAAAUAUAUAGUAGAUAGUUUAAAAUAAAAAACUUAUUCAACAUUAAGAGAUCAUAAUGUUUCAAAUAGAUAAUCAAAAAUAAAAAGUAUUGACUGCCAUUACACCUUUUUGAAGUGUUUUUACUGUUAAAGACAGUUCAUUAAUUUUGUUACACUUGCUCACACAUUUGAACCACUUGUAAAUCAUAUUUUUAGAACACACAUUUUGUUAUUUGUUUCUAGAAUGGGAAAUUUUAGGUGGAGCAUCCAUGUCGGCAUGAAAAUCACUUAUUAAUCCACUAUUCAUGCUCCGACUGGAGAUAACGGAUCAGCGUUGCGGAUCUAACGGAUCAAGCGUAAUAAGUAUGGAUAAAGCGGUUCGUGUGGUACAAAUGUAGAUCAAGCGGAUCUAGCAGUUUAAAACAUAUAUUUGAAUGGUGAAAGUGGAUAAAAGUGGUCUAAAAUAUUGUAAUACAUAUAAAAUUUUAUAAUACUAUUUAUUUCAUAAUUAAAAAUACUUUAUAAAAAAUAUUCAAAAUAUAAUAGAACAUAAAAAUAUAUAUUAUUCUUUUGAGUUUUAAAAUUAAAUAUGUAUCUGAUUUUGGAUGAUUUUAAAAUAAAUAUAUUUUGAUUAAAAAAGUCGUGUAAAAUAAAUUUUAAAUUAUUUUUCAAGGAAUUUAUUUGUUAUUUACUUUUGAAUUAAAUUAAAUUAUUUCUAAAAUAGUUGUUUUUGACUUCGUUAAAUAUUACAAAAAAUAAAUAAAUAAAAUAUAUUGUCAUAACUAAUUCAAAAUAUCUCCUCAUUGAAUAUUUUUGAAUAUAAUAUAUAAACUCUUAUAGAUAUCAACUAUAUAUAAAUAUCAAUGUGUAAAUUUAAUAUUAAUGUGAAUGAUUAAUUUAGUUUAUUUAAUAUUAUGAAAAUAUUAUUUAAUUAAGUGUAAAUAUUAAUUUAGUAUAUUAAUUUAGUAUUGUUAUUAUUAUUUUUAAUUGGAUAGAAGUAAUUUUAUCAAGAUAAUGAAUUACCUAUAUAUAGAUUAUUAAAUAACAUCAUAAAAUUAUUUCAUGUCUAAAAAUUAUAUAUAGUACAAGCGGAUAAACUUAACUACUUGUAAAUAUGGGUACUUAAAAUGCUUCACUUGCGAUCUAAAAAUUUAGAACAAGCCAUAAAAGUUUUUUUUUAAAGCAGUCUAACUACGUUAUUCACAGAAACACUACCUUUUUGUUGAAUGGUGAGAAAAAAGUGGAUUCUAAAUAUAUUUGUUCCCUCCACUAAUUAUCCAUCUCUCACUCAAACCUUUAAACUCAAAUUGUAAAUGGUUCAACCACCUUGCAGUAGAACCAUCUUUAGUUCAUUUUCCCAUUCAAAACCUCAGUUUCGAAUUUGUGAUAAAUUAACCAUCUCAAAUUAUAAGUUCAUAAAUAUAUAAAAAAAAACAUUUUCUUUUAGUUAUUUCAACAUUUCAAAAAAAAAAGAUGUUAUAGCUAUCAAUAAUAUCAUGAUAUAGUGGCAAUGAUAAGUGUUGUCAAUGGUUUACAAAAAGGUUGAUGAUAGUAAUUUACAGUGUUCUAAAAAUAGGUUUAGUGGUGCCUAUGCUCCGUCUUGUCAGUAAUUCGAAUGUGAACGAAACGAUAUAUUUAAACCGAAUUUUUUAAAAUCAGUCUAUGCAUUCAAAAAAUUGGUCUAGGCUUCUUCCUAAACAUUAAUCCAAUAAUCUUUUAUAAGACGCUUAAUCUCCACCUAGCGGGUUUUUGAACAUUGAUAAUUUAUAUGAGUACAAUAGACAUCACUUGACUAUUCUUAUGUUUAACACAUGUUCCGUUUUUCUUUUAACCAGGAGGUGUCUGACAGUCCAAAUAAUCUUCUAAAUCCGGAACUAGAUAUUGCUAGCACUAUGUAUGGGUGUAAAUCCAUGUUCUAAACAACGGGCAUCUAGUCAGAUAAACGGAUGGAGAUACAGUCGGCAAUGGGAGAAUGUGGUGAAUCAAGCAUGAUCGGCAUAGUCCUAUGGUGAGAUGCAAUUUACCAGACUAAAGCGUGGAAUAUACGAAAUCGCCAUGAAAUAAAAAAAGUCCAGAUCAAUACCUUGUUGAAAUAAAUAAACAUAGGCUCAUUAAGAAACUAAAAAUCGUGUCUUUAGGAAAAGAUGGCGUCCAUUGAUUGUGUAAAAUACUAUAGGAAAUAUAAAAAAAAGAUUUAUGAACUAAACACAUAAUGACUACGGACUCUAACUCUCACUCUAGACUCUUAAGUUUGAAAAACAAAUAUAUAAGCAUUCCCCUUAUGUCAAACAACAUAUAGUUUUAUUCCAAGAUAACAUAUUUCUAAUACAUUAUGAAAUCUAAUCUUCAACAAAAUGUCAAAAUCUUAACUUCUCUCUCCCCCCCAUAUAAAAAACUAUUUAUCACGAAGCUAAGUUGCUGAUAAAUUCAUCCACCAAUAAAGUGAAGAGUCCAUUAGCCAAAUCUUCAACCACACACUCGCUCUCGUCCUCAUUAAUGCAACCCCAUUUCAUUUCCUUCACAUAAACUUGUCUCAUCUCUCUAACUUCCCAGCUCAUAAACAUCUCAUCUUGUCUAUCCAUCACCCAAUCUUCUACUAUUUUCACCAUUAACGCCUCUUCUUUUGGCCCAAUAUUAUCUUCUUGAAAAUAAUCUAAUAAUAGAUUAUCCGCUACGUUAGAAGCCAGUAGUAUGUUGUUUGUUUCACCGAUUGUUAACUUCACCAGAGCAAACAAGCGGUUUGCUCGGCUUUCUGAUUCGUCCUCUUCUGUUUCUUGUGUGUGAUAUGAGUACUCAUCUUCUUCACUCUCUACUUGCUUCUCUAUGAAUUUCUCCAGGUUUAGUGGCUCAAGACGUACAAAACCAUUAAACCUCCGGCUUUUUCUUGCAGUUUUCUCGUAUGUAUCUGCGAAUGUUAAGCUUAUUAAAUUAGUUCUAACAACAUAUUUUCAUGUAGUUUAUAACAAUUUCUUACAUAUUUGAUGAAUAGAUUAUUGAUAAAAUUACCUUUUUGGUGGGAAAUAUGAUCAGUGAUUGCAUCCUCUUCAUCAUCGUCAUCAUCAUCGUCUUGAAAAGGACACUCCAGGAUCGAUACUGGACUAAGUUGUUCCUUUUCUUCAUUCACACUUUCCUAAAAAAUUGCAAUUAAAAUCAAAUUGGUUUCAAAUGUGAUCACACAACAUUAUAAAAGAAAAAAAAACAUUACAAAAAAAUAUCAAAAAUAGAAAUAGUCACAACAGAAACAAAAUCAUAUGGCAAUAAUAAGUUGACGUUAGUCAACCAUUGCCAUGACCACAUCAUGUCUCUCUACCUAUCUGUCUCUGCCCCCAUACAUUAAGUAUGGUCGGAUCCUGCCUUUUGUCUUGAUUGAGAUUAUAAGUUUUUAUUUUUUUUAUUUUUUUACUUGAUUGAGAUUAUAAGUUUUAUACUUGAAAAUAUCUUUUUUGUGUUAUCAAAUCCAAGAAUUAAUCAUCGAAGAUUUCUAAAUAAAUCUCAUGAACGUGGGUGCUAAAUUAAGAAUCAUUCUUAGAUAUUAUAAGCAUUACAACUUAAAUGUGUUGAUUUAUGCAUAAUAACCAAACUAAUACUAGUUUAUUUAUUUUUUUUGAGAAAAUGACUAGGAUAGCACUAAAAAAGUUUUUGUCACAAAUAUAGCAUAUAAGAAUAAAAAUGAUCAAAAUAGCACUUAAUGUUUUAUCAAAAGAGAUAAAUAUACACUUAUACCUCAAUGGUAAAUUAAUUUAGACAUUUGGUUUUAGAGUUAAGGGGUGGGGUUUAAGGUUUAGGGUUUAGGGUUUAGGGGUUUAGAGUUUAGGGAUGGGGUUUAGGGUUUAGGGUUUAGUGUUUAGUGUUUAGAGUUAAGGGGUGGGGUUUAGGAUUUAGGGUUUAGGGUUUAGAGUGUUUAGGAUUUAGGGUUUAGAGUUUAGGUUUUAGGUUUAGAGUUGGAGAGUGGGGUUUUGGGAUAAGAUUUCAAAUUUUGAAAAAUAAAAAAAAAUUAAAAGAUAAAAUGCUAUUUUGGUCAUUUU
rnacentral:lncRNA from 1 species